AACCAACUUCUCACAUUUCUUGUCUUUUAAUGGUAAUGAAAGCCAUGGCAAGCUUUCAAAGGUCUGGUUGAAUGAUGCUUCAUCAUCGCCAAGAGGUAUCUGCACGAUCUCAAAACUCUCUCCUUUGGCCUUCAAUUUCUCAUAAACCUCCAGUAACUUUGGCAUGAAAUCAACGCAUGAUUUGUUCUUGGAUAACGAGAAAUAUAGACCCACGGUUUUCCCUUCAAGCUCAGCAACUGGAACCUGGUUUAGCCACAUGAUUAGAUUAGUAGAACGAAAAAUGGAAAACUAAAUCAUAAGCACACGUGGCCAUCAGUUUCAAAUGCAUUGAUGAUCCUUUUAGGUUUACCUUAUUCCCAGCAGACGAAACUACGAAGUCACGAGAUCCAUGGACCAAAAGAGAGGUCAAUGAUUGAUUUUUCCUGGCAGCUUCGUCCUGGUCUUUCAAUUCUUUGAUGCGUUCAGGAGUGAAAGGGUAACCUUCCACUCCAUACUCACGGACGAUCUUGUCACCUUCAUCUGUUAAGACUGUACCGUUGCCAUCGAGAAUGACAAGGUGGGGUAUUCCCCUCACCUUAAACAAUUCAUCCAAGCCAUUGCGCUUGUCCGAGUCAGAAAAUGGGAUUGCAAGCCACGGCAUCUUGGAAAAGUAUCCACUGAAGGACCCUUCAUCCUUAUCUGCAGAGAUAAAAAUGAUCUCCAGAUCACCUUUUGGGGAAAGUUCAUUGUACACCUCCGCCAGAAUCAGGGUGAACCGGUGGCACGGACCGCACCAGGACGCGGAGAAGUACAAGCCAAUCUUCUUGCCCUUCAAGCUAUCGACUUUAACCUGAUUUAGACCAAGAGUUACUAAUUUGAGUUCUUUCAUACAGUAAUCAGCAAGCAAGGCAGGCCAAAUAAAAUUGACCCCCACGCAAAAUCCUAAGAAUUCUCAAGGUACACCCCAUUGACAACCGGAGAAGCACUCUCAUUAAUUUUCUCGCGAAUCAGCAGUCUCAUCAACCAAAACAAGUAAACAACAUUAAGGUGUGAGCAUUUAAACUAAAGGGCGUUGCAGUAUAACAGGGUCGUAUCCUUACACAGUGUCCGCAUGACUCUUAAGUAUAUUUGUUUCUUGGAGUAGUAGUAACACAUCAUUUACCAAUCAUCCAGUUUAUGAAUGAAACAAAUGGACGAUACUCAAAGAUGAUAAUCAAAGAUCAGAACAAAUUAGCUUAUCGAGAACUAAAUUCGCCAGCUUAGCCAUCACAAACCGAUGGCUUCGUGAUCACAAACUCCCAGCAAAGAACAACCGAAGGAACAUCGGAAUUUAAAACACAAAAGGAGCAAGAACCACAUCUUCCAAUCCAACAAGAGGACCACCAACGAAGAAUCAGAUCAAUAUUAUUUUCAGCCAUCCCCAUAAUUUGAAAUUUAAGAACCGAUUAUCAGAACAAGAAUCGUCUGCGCGAACUGUGUAGUUAGUCAAACAACUCACGCGAAGACCACAAGAACUUCAACCCACAAUCUUUUUUCCUUACAAAAAGCUAAAGUAGAGAGAGUCGAGUUUACCUGAUCGCCGUUGUUCCGGAUGAGGAAGUCCCUGUCCGGAGAAGACAAGAGGGACUGAACAUCGUGAGAAGAAGCCCCGCCCUCGACAACAUCCGCCAUAUUCGUCGCUUCACUCGUGUUUUGGUGGAGAGUGCUUGCUGGUUCCAAGAAUUACCCCAUCUAUACCAGACUGCAUUUUAAGAAUUUCGAACGGGGAAGACCACGAAGAGAGUCUAAGUCAACUCUUCGCGUAUUAAUCAAUGGCGACGGUUCCGACCUCGUGCGGUUCGUCCAAUGAACAUUCGCUCUCACACGGACGUUUCGAGGUAAAAAUGGACAUGAUCAUGAUCAUCGUUCGUUUCUUGCAUUGUGGGGGUCCACCCAAUGCCACCGGUUUCUAUUUUCUGUUUUUUCGUAAAAUUUAUUUUGGAUUUGCUUUAAAACAUACAUCGUAAAGUGGGCAGCGAGAUAAGGAGUUUCAGGGCCUUACUUUGGCCCACUGCAGCAGAGAAGCUAACAGCAAAAGCCCGUCGUUUUAAUUAUCUUCCCACUAAUUAGUUUUCUAAUCCCCGACUGCUCUAUUUGACUUAUUAUGCACUGAUGCUUUUAAUGUAUUUCCUCUAAACUUGGCUAAGUAAAUUAAUAGCAAUGGCAUUUUCGUUCAAAAAAAAAAAAUUGGGCAGCGAGAUUACCGACCAAAAAAAUUUCCGCCCCUUGCAUGACUAAACGUGCCCCAUUUUCAAUAAAAAGACAAAGUUUCCCUUAAUUAUUCAAUUACAAUUUAAAGUAAUAGCCCCCAAUUUAUGUACUUUCCUUCUUUUGUUAGUUUUCCAUUUAUAUGUAACAUCUAGUUACCAUAAUUAAGAAUAUCAUGUGUUUCGUUCUUGCUUAUUAUGAGUAUCCCAUAUAUAUUAAAUGCAUUAUGUUUUCUCUUUAUUUUAAGAUUUUACUUUCAUUCAAAUAUAAUUUUAUCGAAAAGAGAAAUUUCAAAGAAACUUAGUUAUUUUCUACAUUAUCAAGCAAAUUAUUUAUUAAUUGUCCCGUAAAACCUAGAAAAGAUUUAACAUAGAUUACUUUUCAACACAGUGUUUAUAAAAUUUUACUAUGUUGGGCAUAUCACCACCAAAUCUUUUUUAUCGGUUGUCUUUUUAUAUACAUAUAUAUUUUAUGGGAUGAUUGGAUGAGACACACACACACACAAAAACCUCUUUAAAGCUUUUUCCUAAAUAAAUCAUAAUUACUGUGUGUAUAUAUAACAAAAUAUGUGAAAGUAGGUCGAUAUGGUAAUGAUUGGGUCAAGUCUACUUUUAAAUUUCAUUAGGGUAUCAAGUGAUGAGGUCCAUUUUGAAGGAUGGAUUAUCUGGCAUAUGGUGGCUGUUGAAUAUGUAAUAAUUUUUGGGUUGUGUGUAUCUGGAAAAUGUUUGAAUUUCAUGGAUCCUGUUUCAAUCAAAAUUUGUUCAUAAUAAGUAAUGUGUUUGUGCUUAUCAUGAGGUGUGAAAUACCAAUUUUCAUAAUAAGCAAUGGUGCAAUUCCAGCUCCAAGAGCCCAUCGUGCACAAAAAAGGUGCAAUUCCAUUGUAACAAACACCGUCGGCAGAUGUCUCUUGAGCUGUCGUUAAAGACCUCUUGGGCUUACGCCAACAAAACUUUGACUUACACUAACACGAAGGUGAGACGUGUGGAAAGGCUUCGUCAUCAAUUUGAGAUGAUAAGGAUGCGUGCCUACAAGAGGAAGUGCACAUCUUCGUCUACUGGAUGCCUUUACAUAAUACGAAAGGAUCAUUUACUUUUGGUUAUGUUCAAACUACAGUCUACUUUCUAUAAGUCCUUAUUUAAAUGAACCUAGCUUACUCAUCAAUUUGAGAUGACAGGGACGCGUGCUUACCCGUGAAGUGCACAUCUACAUCCACUGGAUGCAUACAAAAGGAUCAUUUACUUUUGGUUAUGUUCAAACUACAAUCUACUUUUUCUUUUUCUUGGUCAAACUACAGUCUCCUUAAUUCAGACAUUUCUUACUUAAUAAUUCAUUGACGAGCAGCCGAGGUGGACAUGCUUAUGGAAGCUGUGGAUCUUUAACGCAUAAGAGAAUCUUAUGGUGUAUUUGUUUCACGGAAAAUAAAUAAUUUGAAAAAUAUUUUCCUAAAAACGGUUAUUUGUAUCAUUCACAAAAAUAAAUGAACGAGUGCAUAAAUUAUUGUCGAUAAUAAAAACAUUUGUCAUUAACUAAUUAUUUCAUGAAACAAACGGAGCUUCAAGGCUAUACCUGCUAAGGAAGAAAGAGCUCCAAGAAAUUUCAAUUUAAAACACGAGGAAUGAGAACAACUAAAAAAUUGAAGUAAAUGAUAAAGCGAUCUUCUGGUAAACUCAAAUGUGAAAUAUCUUCAGGGAUAACAUAAUACUUAUUUUUGUGGUUGUUGAAAUAUCCCAUGUUCCCGCAUAUAUGUCUUACAUGCAUUGGUAUGUUGAUGGUGAGAGGCUUAGUUUGAACUAGACAUGAGCGGUUUCAAGUUCUAUAUAAGUUCCACCGAGAAUAUAAAACCUACCAAUUAGAAUAGGUUCCUCAUUUUUUGAAAUCCGGAACCUAACCUGCAUACCUUAGAACCUAGAGUCUAUCCUAUCGCAAGUUCCAAGGUCGAUUAUAGGGUCUAUCCAGGUUCUACCUAUAUCAUUAUUUGAAUGAUUACAAUUCACUAAUCAUAACUUAUAUUUAGACACACGAAAAAUAUGAAUAUUAAUAAAGUAAAAAUCUUAAUCAUAAAAUGAAAACUCAGACUAGUGCUUCCAGAUUAUACACUCAUCAUCAUCGAAUGAUAUGGAAUAUCAGAGAAUUGCAUAGAGACAUGGGCUAAGAAAAACAUUAAAACUUGUUCCAAAUUCCAAGUUCCUUCAACUAAAAAUUGGAAAUCUAUCCAUUAAAACAGGUUUCUUAAUUUUUGGAACUUGAAACCUAGAACCUACUUUAGAUAACUUAGAACCUAGAACAUACAAGUUCCCACCGAACGGGUUCCAAGUUCUACUUUCAAACAAUUCUCACCCCUGAUAGUUAUGUUCCCAUCAAUGAAACUUCAAAAGAUGGAAUCUAAAUAUACUAGAGCUUUGUGUAAAAUAAGAUUUUUUUGCAAAACACCAUGGAAAUUUCAUUGUUUUUUAUUGAUAAAAAUGAAUAUCAUUCACGGAGCAUUUACAAACAAUAUCAAAAUGCAUCAUUGUGCAUAACUAUAUCAUGUUAAUGUUUUUAGUGUUGUUUUAAACACUCCUAUAAUGUCUUACAUGUUUCGUGUCAAAGCAUCUCAUCAAUAGUAAUUAAGAAAUAAAUAAAUAAAUAAGAAAAAUCUUUGAUAUAGUAAAUAUAAAGACUUGAUGUAUAUUUUAGACUAACGAAAUUAAAAAAUAAAAAAGUCACCAAGAAAGUAAGCUUUGAGAGAUGAGUUUUUUAUAAGAGCAGUGAUGUAGAAGAGACUACUUUUAUUUUCUAAAUAUCUAUAAGUUCAAGUUUGACGAAAAACCAUAAACAAAAACAAGCAUGUGACAUUCUUAAUUAUGACUAUUAGAUCUUACACAUAAUAAUACAAACUAAAAAAAGGAAGGAAAGUAAAUAAAUUUGGAGCUAUCACUUUAGAUUGCAAAUGAAAUUGAGGAUGAUAUUGUCUUUUUAGUGAAAAUAGGGGUGGGUUUAGUUAUACAAUGAGUAAAAAUAGCGCCGCCCUUUAAUAUUAUGAUAUCUUGUUACUCGUAUUGAAAAAACAAGGGCCUUUCUUUGGAUCCUUGGUGUUCGGUUAAGACAACCUCACCAAAGGAAGGGAGCUUUUGCUUCUACAAUGGCCUCCACAGCCUAUCUAUUUGAUAUAUGGGACGACAGGCUCUACGGAUGUGGUCUUUAUUUUUAACGUGUCAAUGUCCAUACAUCUUAUGCCCCUAAUUCCCCUUGGAUCAUUUUCUUCUCUACCAAGAAGGAACACCUUCUAGUUGCUUUAUAUUCAAGUGAUCUUGAAAUCUAGAUGAAAACCAAGAGGAAGCUUUUUAAGAAUUUGCUUAGGUCUGGACUUUUUAAUAUUGCUAUUUCUUGUUACCUAUAUUUUGCAGUUCUUUUCAUUUGGAUUUUUUUUUUUUGAGAGAGUUUUCUGUUUUUUUUUUGUCGAAAUAUUUGGAGAGAGUUCAAAAGGUGCUUUUUGUUUGACUUUUUCCCCCCUAAAACGAACCUUCCAUUCCAUCAAAGCAGUCCCAAUAUUACGAGGAAUUAGAACCAUUAAGAUAAUAAAAUAAAGAAAACUUCACUAAUACUAUAUUUUUAAGUAUAGAGGGGAGAUCAUUUAAAAAGAAGAAAGAAAAAAAGAAGAAUAUGAGAGUUCAAGACAAAAGGAUGAAUACACUAAGGGCAAAGCUCUUUUGUUAAAUAACAUCAAUUAAUACUUUGCAAUUACUUUUGAAAACGCUUUAUGGAUGUCGAGGAACUAAGGGCGCGUUUGGCAACGAUUCUAUUCUCGGGAACUGAUUCUGACAAGAAAUGAUUAUUUUUUAUUCUGUUCCCGAAAACUGAUUAUGAGUAAAAGAACGUGUUUUGUAACUGUCUAAAAUUUCUGAUUCUGGAAUAGAAUUGCGUUUGAUAACGUGUUCAUUGAUUAUGUUCCAAAUUAUUUUUUUUAUUUUUAAAUAAUUUUUUGUACUUUUGUACUUUUUUUUCUUCUUUUUUUUAUACCUUUUUUCCUUUUCUUUUUUCUUUUUUUCUUUUCUUUUUUUCCUUUUUCUCCUAUUUUUCUUCUUCUUCUUGUGGCCGGUCGCCGGACCGACGACUGACCGUACGAGGGCCGGCGACCUCACCAGAGUGUUGCCGACCCUCGACGAAGUUGGCCCGCGUCGGCCGAGCCUCGCUGACAGCUGGGCGAGGCUCGCCCAACCCCGCCGAGCGUCGCCGGUGGACAGGCGGGCCUCGCCGGGGCUGGGCUAGGCGAGGCUUGCCUGGCCAUCGGUCAGGCUAGGUGAGCCCAGCCGGUGGACAGGCGGGCCUCACCGGGGUUGGGCGAGGCCCGCCUGGCCACCGAUUAGGCUAGGCGAGCCCGGCCGGUGGCUAGGCGGGCCUCACCUCGCCGGUGGACAGGCGAGCCUCGCCCCGCCCCGGCGAGGCUCGCCAGUGGCUGGGCGAGCUCGCUAGACCGGCGGCCGGUGACCGACGGCGGGUUGUGGUGGGCGGCGGCGGACGGCAGCGGGCGGCAGCGGCGGGCGACGGCGGUAGGCGACGGUCGCGGGAUGGCGGAAGGAAAGAAGAAGAGUUUUAUUGUUUGAUUCUUUUUUUUAUUCUCAGACGCAGAAUCAACUUUUUUUUUAUUCUCAAAUCUACUCCCAAACUGAUUCUAGGAACAAAAAUUUUACCAAACGCGAUUCUCGUCCCAAACUGAUUCUAGGAACAAAAAAUCAGAAUCAGUCACUGUUUGGCAUGUUGCCAAACAGGGCCUAAGUAGCUUUCCGUGCAAGAAGAGGAGAUGCAGCUUCCACUUUCAUUGGCCAGUUCCAUCUUCCUCGUCUUGUUCAUGCUUCAACGACUGAACCUCAUCUAAUCAUGUAAUUAUACCUAUGGCCCCUUUUUUAUCCUUCCAUGCGCCAUCUAUACUAAACUUCAAACCUUAGUUUGGAAAGGAAUACAAGAGUUUGUCCUUACUCCAAUAAAAUCUGAUUCUUGAUUUAAUUCAUAUCUAAUCUCCUUCCUAAACAUAUUCAAAUAUUUCAUGAAAUCUUAUAUUGGGAAUGAACUAGAAUAAUAUGAUCAUAUAACUUUGCAUUCUAAUAAUGCCAUGUUCUAGUGCAAAGAAUUGUAAAGGGUGAAGAGCUUGCACUCCAAUCUCAUUCUCUAUGAUGUUUUUCCUGGAUCAAGAAAGCGUCUCAUUGUCUCUUCUUGAGACCUAAAGUUCCAAGCAAAUGAGAUAAUACCCAAUGGGCUCUAUCUCUACAAAAUUUGGGCAAAAGGACAUGUUAACAAAUGUAGCAAAUUUUCCUCCAAGGCUUCACGCAACAAGAAAGAAGGGUCUAAGAUAUGGAGCAAUUGAAACAAGUUAACUUAAGAAGGUAAGACAUUAGCUGUUAUCCUGUACUACAACACUUUUUGCUGCUCAUAAACUCUACCUUUCCAUACCAUUCUAGAAUGUCAGAACCUGGCUAUGAUUCUGAAUUAAUAUUGUCUAGCUGCUGGACAAGAGAUUAAUUUAAACAAAUCAGGCAUAUUUUUCAGCAAGGGCUACCCUCAAACAUUGAAAAAUAAUAUGGCAAGGGAAUUGAGAGUUCCUAUUAUUUUUAAACUAGCAAAUAUCUAGGUAUUCCCUCGGAUUGGGGAGAGUCGAAAAAACAAAUAUUUGCAUGGGUCCUUAGGAGAAUCAGUUCAAAAUUAGAAAGCUGGAAGGAGAAGCUGCUCUCUAAAGCUGGAAAAGAAGUCUUGUUGAAAACAAUGAUUCAAGCACUACCUCAAUAUGCUAUGUCUGUAUUUAAAAUCCCAGUAUCUAUUUGCAAGGCCAUUGAACAGAAAAUUGCUUCAUUUUGGUGGAAGACUAAUGAAAAAAAAGAAGGCAUUCAUUGGAAGAGAUUAGGGGUGAGCACGGUUCCCGGGUAGAACCGAGAACCGGGGAACCGAACCAGAGGGUUAGGUUCGGUUCCCGAUUCCUAAGACACCGGUUCCGGUUCCCGGUUCCCUUUUUCUGGGAACCGGAACCGGUCACAAUUCUAAAAAAAAAAACCAUAGCUUCCCCCGCAUGAUUUCCCCCCUCUGCGAUUCUUCCCCCCCUUCCUCUUUCUUUCUCUCUCUCUCUUUCUUUUCUCCACUUUUCACUCCUCAGUCCUCACGUCACUUCCUGCCCCCAACUUUUUUCUUUUCUUCUCUCUCUCCUCUUUCCCCCCCUCUCGGCCGAGACCCCACCUCUUCUUCUUCUUCUUCUUCUUCUUCUUCUUCCUCCUCCUCUUGCUGGCUGCUGCUUCACCCACCACCACACCGCCGCCCCACUCCCUACUCACCACCAUCUCUUGGCCACCGAACCACCACCACCCACCAUUUGUCCGAUGAGCCGUCUCGCCGUUGAGGCCGACGAGCUGUCGCGCCGUCUGCGUUACCCCUCGCCGCCGUGAGCCGCCGCCGCCGUCUCCAAGCCACCAUCACCACCUCUUGCCACCGCUCGCUCGGCUGUCCAGGCCGUUGUUGCUUCGAACCGCCAUCGCCUCCGCCAGAACCGAGCUCUUCCCCCCUUGGCCGUGGGUUGAGCCGCGACCGCCGCCGUCUUCGCCGCGCCGUCCGUGCCGCCGUUGGUGCCGUGAGACUCGUGUGUUCGUCGCCGUCGCCGUCACCGCGUGCUCACCGUGGCCGGACCUCCCUUGAAGAUCGAUCUGGCCACGAACGAUUCGAUGGGGAACUGCCGGUGGCCGGGCUUUGCGAACCUCGCUUGCGGCUCGAUGAAUCGGAUGGCCUCAUCGAGGUUCCAGUUCGCCGCCUCCAUCUUGUGAGCCAUGGCUUUCGCAAAGUGCCUCACGGAUCGUAAGGUGUAGUGGAGGACUUGGGCGAAGUGGGUCGGGCUCAACGACGUGAGCUUGAAGCCGUCGAACAGGGGCGAGACGCCGCUCGCGUUGAGCUUCUUCUCCGACGACCAGUUCUCGGAGACGAGCUCGUCGAGCUUCCUUCUCAGCGCGGAGAUCUCCGACUCCUUGCGCUCCGCCUCGGCCUCCAUCUUCUUCAUCGUGAUCUCGUACGUCCUCAUGAGGCUCUGCUGCUCCUAAAUCUCUGCCAACAUCAGCGUCACCUGUGGGGAGAGGUCAAGCUCCUUCCUGAGGAACUUGAUUACGUUAAUUCCAGACAGUGGAAGAGAUGAAUUUAACAUCAUGCGUAAGGCUAUUUCUCCAAAAGAAUUUAAUAUCAUGCAUAAGGCUAACGUAGAUACCCCUAACAAUAAUGAAAGGGGAAGAAAAUGGGGAGAAAUAUCUGCUUCUCUCUUUUAUAUCAGUUCAUUCUUUCAUUAAUUUUUCAAAAAUUUUAGAUAUGGCUGUUGGUAAAUGCUGUGUCCUAACUCGCAUGCCGACUUAAAUUGACCUAACUCCAUAUUCUCUGUUAUUUCAUUUCUUUCUUUCUUUUUUCACUUCUGUUCAGCUAUUGUUUUCGAUGCUCCAACAACUGUCAACACCUUUAAAGUUUCUGCUGACGUUGAAUUACCAAAUUAUAUAUUAGAGAAUGAAGAACUAUAAAUUUAGUUGUCUAUUCAAAUGUAAAAGAUUCACAUUGCUAUGUAUUGGCAGGUACCGAAAAUGGAGGGCCAACUAUUGAAUUAUUUCGGCUUUCGGAUAUUCGCGCUCACUACGAAAAUGAAAAAAAAAAGAAAAAAAAAGAACCUGUUGGAACCUGGAACCGACCCCGGAACCUGUGACAGGGUAGGUUCCAGGUUCUCGGUUUUGACGGGUAGGUUCCAGGUUCCAAAAAUUGAGGAACCUAUACCCGAGGGUAGGUUCCAGGUUCCGGACGGAACCGAACCGGAACCGGGAACCGCUCACCCCUAGAAGAGAUGGGAUUUAUUGAAAAUCAAAAAAGAUAGAGGUGGUAUGGGUUUUAGAAAUUUUCUCUCUUUUAAUAGAGCAAUGUUAGGGAAGCAAGUAUGGCGACUGGUACAACAACCAUCUUCUCUUUGGGGCAGAUUAUUCAAGGGGUUAUACUAUCCAUACAUGGAUUUUUGGCAUGCAAUAAAUGACAUUCGACCUUCAUGGGGAUGGAGAAGCCUGGUCCUAUGGAGGGAUUCUAUAGUACCCAAAAUCAUGUGGAAAGUAGGAGAUGGAUCUAAGAUUAAAAUCAGGGAUGAUAAAUGUCUGCACAGAGGUACUAUUGAGGGUCCAAUGCAUGUCAAUGAACCUUCUUUAGUCUCAGAAAUUAUAGACAAAGAGCAAGGGAGAUGGGAUGAAAUUAAAAUAGCAGCACACUUUGAUGAACAGUUAGCUGAAGAAAUUAUGACUAUCCCUAUUAAGCUCCAAACAGAAACGGAUCAACUUGUAUGGACUAGCACGCAGGCAAGCAAAUAUACAGUGAAAAGUGCGUAUAACUACAUCAAGGAGGACAAAGCACAAGCUCAGGAAAAUCAGGCUACAACUUCUUUUCAACCUCCCCCCUCACUCUAGAAAGACAUUUGGAAUUUGCACACCCCACCCAAGAUAAAAAAAAAAAAAUUAUGUGGAAUUUAUGCAACAUGCUCUCCCAACAAAAGAUAACCUGUUUGGAAGGAAAAUAUUACCUGACCCCAUGUGCCCAUUAUGCAAUUUUGACAGGGAAACGGUUGAACAUCUAUUCUUGCUGUGUCCAUGGACAAGACAAAUUUGGGACACUGAGCUGAACAUUAAAAUUUCACGUCAGGCUUGACAAGGAUAGAAGAAUGGUUUUGUCAACUCAAAAAGAAGACAACGAACCCUCCAAACCUACACAUGGUGGCUGUAAUGUUGUGGAAUAUGUGGAAGGCCCGAAAUCAGGCAGUCUUUCGGGGUAGAAAACUAGAGGCGUCGGCUAUCAUCGAUUCAGCACAAGCGGUCCUCAAAAGCUAUCACAAGUGGAAUCCAAGGAAGGGUGGAUCCAAAGAUAAUGGAGAAGCCGAACCUGAAAAUAGAGAAAUCAGCACGGAAAUUAACGAGACUAAUGCAGAGUUGAGACAGGGAAACAGAGAAUCGGGUGAGGAGCAACAACCUAUGACUCGUAUGCAAGAACACAGAGCAGAUGAUGGUUUGCGAAACAGGGUAGAUGAGUGGAGAGGAAACAUGAGAUCAAGGUUGUGUGGUGAGCUGAGCCUAGGUAGUAGAGUGGCGUCGGAACAGGAGUGGAAGGCAGUAGAGCACGACGGCGAGACGAGCACUCUUGGCCUAGCACCUCUAACCCUCAACUUACUGGUGAAGUCAGGUACAAAGCAAGGGAAUCAAGGACCAGGAGGCAGAACGGUGAGUUGCGAACCUGAACCCGACAGGAGGAAGCCAAAGAGAACAAGCGAUCCCUUCACAAAUCUGAAACCCAAGAAGCUGCAUGUUGGAGGACCCACGAAGUUGGCGGAUCUGAAUCUUGAGAAAUCGACCCCUCUCAACUCAGCAAUGAUAACCAUCAAAUUAUUGGUGAAGCCGAGAGCGAAGUAGACGGAUCAAUGACCAGUGGGCCGAACGGCGACCAGCGAACACGAACCUGACCAGAGGAAGUCGAAAAGGACGGUCGAUUCGAAAGGAAAGCAAGUGAGAAGAAUGGAGAGCGGCGCCCUAGAUUGAGAGAUGAGCCGAGACAGAGCCAUAGAGUGCCGAAAAUGGAAGGAUGUGCUGGUGCAGAGGGCAAAGUAAGAAGAUCUGAAACCUCAGAAGCUACUCAUAGGAAAUCCCUCGAAGUCGACAGAUCUGCAACUUGAGCAACAAAACCCUCUCAAACAUGGAUUCCACCGCUAGGAGGAGCCUUGAAGAUAAACAUAGAUGGAACAUUCUUACCUGGUUCGUUGGAGAAUUCUAUUGCCUGCAUAUGCCAUGAUUCGGAGGGGAGGAUGGUGGGGGAAGAGGCUAAAGCAAUCAAAGCCUCCUCCCCCUUGAUGGCCGAAACCCUAGCACUUUGGGAAGCCCUCAACUUUUUUUACCCUAAAAGACACGAAGUACUUCUCUUUGAGUUAGACAGUUCGCAACUUAUUAAAGUAAUGACCAGUUCACAGCAGUUAAGUUGGGAAGUUCAACCUAUUUCUGCAAAUGCAAGGAAAAAAUGCAGGCCUUUUCACAUGUUCAGAUAUCCCAUUGCUCUAGAGAGGUCAAUCGUUCUGCAGAUUGGGUAGCUAAAGCCCAUAAGAACAACUACUUAUUUCUGAAUUGAGUUUUAUCACCUCCACAAAUUUUAUGGGACCUUUUGUGUAAUGAUGCCCCUUUAUCGGGCCUCUCAUCUUUGAUUACUUAAUGAAAUGCUUUAGCUUCUGACCCAAAAAAAAAAAAAAAACUCUAGCUUUCCAAAUUUUGCUCGAAAUCUUAGAGUUGUUGCCAUUUUCAAUUCACAACUUGAUGAGUUUGUAUUUAACAAAAUAUAUUCCAUCAGUAAUUGAUUUGCCCACCCAUAUGGAAUUCGGCCCAUGGAUCUAAAGAAUGGCUUGGAUAACUUUGUUUUCCCUUCGAAUCUAGUACAAGUAAUUUGGUCAUAGACAAAAGAAAUUAUUAAAGCUUCAUUUAUGAUAACUUGACAUUAAGUGAAUCAUGCAUGUCUCCAAUUUUAGUUAGAUGGAAUCCUCCACCUACCCUGUAGAUUGAACCAUAUACUUAUGAGGCCUUUAAAGGCAAUCUAGGACUUGAUGGUGCAAAGGGUUUAUUUAGAAACAAAGGGGGCACCGAAUUAGUGGUUUUGCUGCAUUUGUAUAAAUAUGUUCAUCAACACGAGCAGAACUUUGGGCUUUGUAAUUGAGAAUCAACUUCACAAAACAACUUGGAUUUUAUAAGAUUAUAAUUGAGAUCGACUCUGAAAGCCAUUGCUAAUCUUCUUAAUUCGGAGUUGAUGAUUGAUAAUGCCAAUCCUAUUUUGCUUAAAGAUAUCAAAAGGCUAUAGGGCCCUUUCACUUUGAGUUUAAAGUGCAACAUAACUCUCGAGAAGAAAAUCCAUAAGCGCUUAGUUACUAGCUUCUUUUCAUUACCUCCUAUAUAAAGUUACUUCAUGUUUUAUCAGCAGAUAAAAUAGGGAUAACUAGAGCUGCGACGUUAAAUUUUUGUAUUAGGCUUCUGCCCUUUUUCGUACCAAAAAAAAAUUUAAAAAAAAAAAUUCCAAAUAUUUUGUCAUCCAAAAGUCACCCAAUUCCAAACCAUUGGUCCAGACUCCAGAAGGCAUCUCCCCGAGAGGAGAAAAGACCUAUAAAAUCGACCAGAAACCAGAUCGAGAAUCUUCAUCCCGAACCUCCUCCUUCGAUCUCUCAGCAAUCUCUCUCUCUCUCUUUCUCUCUCUCGAGCGGUCUCUCUCCUUCCUCCUUCAAGCCUCAAGGUAAUCCGCCGAUCCUCCUUCGCUGUGUCGACUACAAUCUCCGUCUGCCUUCUGGGUACACAGGAUUUCUUUGCGACUCUCGGAUUGGUCGAGGUUUCGUCUGUUUUCGCCUCGAUUUUGCGAAUCGUAGCGUGCGUUUUGCCUCCGAUAGAUGUCCGCCGGAUCGUGAGAUGAUCCGCGUGCGGAUCGUCUGAUUUCUCGCGCCGGGGGCUUAGGUCGUCGGUUUCCCUCGCGAUCGGUUUUCGCUUGUGCUGGUUGUUCGCUAAUUUCUGUCUUUUGAUAGCUUCAGUUGAUUGUGUGCGUUGUCGGAUCUUAUCUGUGAGUUGUGCAGACGUUUGUUUGUUUGGAGUGAUGAGGAUGGAAGAUAAUUUUUUUUUUUUUUUUUGGGUCAUUCCUGUGGAUUGAUUCCCCAUUUUUCAGAGCUCUUGGCUGUCUAGUUUCUAUACGAUUUAUAAUGUCCAUGAUUUGUUUAAUCCCAAUGCUUGACCACUACUCCUGUGAUUGCUAACGGUACCUGAAGUUUUGUUGUGCGAAGGGUAUUCUGUGUUUUUGAUUAAUUGAUUUGGUGCCUAAAAUUUAAUUUAGAGUUUCCGCAGCCUUGGUUGGUGCCCGCAAACAUGUGUUGAUUGUUGUGUCGUUUCUCGAUUUGGGUUACAGAAGAAUCUAGUGAAACGUUCUUGUUGUCUCUCUCCCUCUUUCUUAAGUAUGCAAAUCAAGAAUUGAAUUGCAAUGACUGACAUAAGCCACGAAGACGUCAAAGAGUGUGGAGCGGAAUCUAAUCUGGCUGGUUUACUCGAUAUUUCUUGCAUUUGAGGAGUUGCAAUUUUGCAAAUAUGGUUUGUUUUUGCUAUGUAUACUUGUUCUAGUUUCAUGUCACCUAAUUUCUUCCCUUUUUUUUCUGUUUGAAUCUCUUAGAUGCAAAUUUUCGUGAAAACCCUUACUGGCAAGACCAUCACCCUCGAGGUCGAAAGCUCAGACACAAUCGACAAUGUGAAAGCCAAGAUCCAAGACAAGGAGGGAAUCCCCCCUGACCAGCAGAGGCUUAUCUUUGCUGGGAAGCAGCUUGAGGAUGGACGCACUUUGGCUGAUUAUAACAUUCAGAAGGAAUCCACCCUUCACUUGGUUCUCCGUCUCAGGGGUGGCAUGCAGAUAUUUGUGAAGACCCUCACUGGCAAGACGAUUACCCUAGAGGUUGAAAGUUCGGACACCAUCGAUAAUGUAAAGGCGAAAAUCCAGGACAAGGAAGGAAUUCCCCCAGAUCAGCAGAGGUUGAUUUUCGCGGGCAAGCAACUUGAGGAUGGCCGAACUCUGGCGGACUACAACAUCCAGAAGGAAUCAACACUCCACUUGGUGCUUCGUCUCAGAGGUGGCAUGCAAAUCUUUGUGAAGACCCUCACUGGCAAGACCAUAACCCUUGAGGUUGAAAGUUCGGACACUAUCGAUAACGUGAAGGCGAAAAUCCAGGACAAGGAGGGAAUCCCCCCAGACCAGCAGAGGUUGAUUUUCGCUGGCAAGCAACUUGAGGAUGGCAGGACGCUUGCAGACUACAACAUUCAAAAGGAAUCCACCCUUCACUUGGUGCUCCGUCUGAGGGGAGGAAUGCAAAUCUUUGUCAAGACCCUAACUGGGAAGACGAUCACUUUGGAAGUUGAGAGCUCCGACACCAUUGACAAUGUCAAAGCCAAAAUUCAGGACAAGGAAGGCAUUCCCCCAGAUCAGCAAAGGCUUAUCUUUGCUGGGAAACAACUUGAGGAUGGUAGGACUUUGGCGGAUUACAACAUCCAGAAGGAGUCCACUCUUCACUUGGUGCUGCGACUGAGGGGAGGCAUGCAGAUUUUUGUCAAGACCCUUACUGGGAAGACCAUAACUUUGGAAGUUGAGAGCUCGGAUACCAUUGAUAAUGUCAAAGCUAAGAUACAGGACAAAGAAGGCAUUCCCCCAGAUCAGCAGAGGUUGAUUUUCGCCGGGAAGCAACUUGAGGAUGGCCGGACACUGGCGGAUUACAACAUUCAGAAGGAGUCAACUCUACAUCUUGUGCUUCGCCUCCGCGGUGGAAUGCAGAUUUUUGUCAAGACUCUGACCGGUAAGACCAUCACUCUUGAGGUGGAAAGUUCAGACACCAUCGACAAUGUGAAGGCGAAGAUCCAGGAUAAGGAGGGCAUCCCUCCGGACCAGCAGAGGCUGAUUUUUGCCGGGAAGCAACUGGAAGAUGGGAGGACACUGGCCGAUUAUAACAUUCAGAAAGAGUCGACUCUGCACUUAGUCCUUCGUCUGCGCGGCGGCUUUUAAGUCUCUUGCGAAAAGUUUUCAUCGAGUCAAGCUCUGUGUUUAUCUAAGUUUGGUCGGUUCUAAUGUUUGGCUUUAUGUUUGGGUAAUAAUGUCUGCUGAUGGAUGGAAUUGGUAUGGAUAAUAUGUCAACUUCUUUGGUUUGGUCAUCAGUUUGAUGGACAUGAAUUGAUCUAGUAUUCUCUUAUUUGAGGGUUGUGGCUUUUGAGCGUUGUUUCACUAGUUGAACUCGUAUAUUCCAGUUGUUAGUUUCUCUGUUGCUUACAUAUGUAUGAAUAUGGCGAACCAAUCGCUUGCAUAUGGCGAAGCUAUGCUUCGAAAACCCUGCUGAGCGACUUUUAGUUGCUUUUGGGAAGGAAAAGCAAUAUAAAUCAGGCUGCAUUAUCUCUCUAAGACGAAAGAUGAAAUAUAUUGGCAUAAUACAGGAAGUAAACAUGUGAUUCAUGUCUUAAAUUAGCAGGUUUACCGUAGGAUGCCUUACUUUUUUCUCUAAUCGCAGUUUAACUUAUGUUGCAGCUUCUGGUUUUGCUUUUUCGAUCAAUCGUCAGAAAACCUAGCAUCGAGCCAGACUUGGGAGACUUCAUCCAUUAUCACUAAUUAAAUCAAUUUUGAUCUGGAUCUAGAGUCACCAUCCACUGAUAUAACAUGUUCUAUAACGUGCAAAUCUCAAAGCUGCAUCUUCUGAAGGAGAGCCGGAGCUGCUUGGUACAAUCAAUGCCGAUCACAGAUUAUUGUAGCCUACUGCUCUGCUUGGCACAGGGCUCGUAUAAGAUAAAGAUUUUAUUACGACUGCGAAUUGUCAAAGUCACAUAAUAACACACCCAAAGUAUGAAUAAUGUACAUCCCUUAUGCGAACCCUCCGCAUAUGAAGCUCGAAACACGUCCACUCACAUAAAAAAAAAACGAGAAAACUGCUUCAAACGAGUAACAGAAGACAGAACAACUAAGAAGUAACUUUUAGGCUUUGUAGCAGACUUCACCAUCACAGACCCAUCCUUCACCGGCUUCUCCUCCUUCCUUUGCCUCCUCCCCAGCUGCUUUAUCGUCUUCUUCGUCUUCUUCUUCAUCCAGCUCGAUCUUAGUCGACUUCUCCAACUUCUUCAGAUGUUCGGUGGUAAAAGGAUAAGCAUCGGCCCCAUGCUCCGAUAUAAGAUUUCUUGCUUCUUUAGUCAGUGUCCGGCCCGUCGGGCCAAUGGCUAUGAGCGUGGGGAUCCCGUCAACCUUGAAUUUGCGAUUCAGGGAUUUCUUCCUCUCGUCGCCAAAGGGAAGCGCCAGCCACGGCAUCUGAGCAUAGUAAUUGUCGAAGGCAGCUUGGUCCUUAUCGCUGGAGAUGAAGAUCAGCUCAAAGGCAUUGUUUUUGGCCUUGAUCUUUUCAUAUGCCUCCGUGAGCACUGGCAGGAAAUCACGGCAAGGAGGGCACCAGUGUGCCGAGAAGUAAAGGAGGACAGUCUUCCCUACCAAGUCCAAUACUGGAAUCUGCAAUCCAAGUCAAGAAACGACCUUGAGUCGAUUAGAAAAGGCACGUGAAAAUGCAUACACGGACAUGAUUUUCCAGUUACAAACCGGGUUUCACCUUGUAUCACCUCGAGUAACACGAGGGAUGACGAAAUUAAGGACUAUAAAAAUUUCCAAGUCACUAGCUUCUUGGAGGAUAAACAAAUUUACCUUGGUUCCUUCCUUUCCAAUGACGAAAUCUCGAUCCCCUGAAACCAAGAUUGACUCCAAGGUCUGAGAUUCUUCCUUUUUCCUCUGUAUCUCUGCAAGCUCUGCAAACUUUUCUGGAGUGAAAGGGUAAGCUUCAACCCCAUGCUCUUCGACAGUUUCAGCAACAUUGGAAUGGAGAGUCUUCCCAUCAGGACCGAUUAUGACAAGAGUGGGUAGGGUAGAAAGCUCAAAGUACCUAACCAAUUUCUCACAUUUUUUGUCUUUCAAUGGUAAUGAAAGCCACGGCAUGCUUCCAAAGGCUUGGUUGAAUGAUUCUUCAUCAUCAUCUAGAGGUAUCUGAACGAUCUCAAAUCUCUCUCCUUUGGCCUUCAGCUUCUCAUGAACAUCCAGUAAAAUUGGCGUGAAAUCAAUGCAUGAUUUGUAAAUGGACAAUGAAAAAUAUAGACCCACGGUUUUCCCUUCAAGCUCAGCAACAGGAACCUAGUUUGACCACAUGACUAGAUUAGUAAAAGAGGAUGGAAAACCGAAUCAUGAGCAAACGCGACCAUCAGUUUCAACUGCAUCAAAGAUCUUUUUAGCUUACCUUCUUCCCAUCAGAUGAAACUACGAAGUCACGAGACCCAUCGACCAAAAUAGAGGUCACUGAUUGGUUUCUCUUAGCAGCUUCUUCCUGGUCUUUCAAUUCUUUGAUGCGUUCUGCAGUGAAAGGGUGACCUUCCACUCCAUACUCGCGAACAAUCUCCACCCCACUAUCCGUCAAGACUGUACCAGUGCCAUCCAGAAACACAAGGUGGGGUAUUCCCCUCACCUCAAACAAUUCAUCCAAGCUAUCACGCUUCUCCGAGUCGGAGAACGGAAUUGCAAGCCACGGCAUCUUGGAAAAGUAUCCACUGAAGGACUCUUCAUCCUCAUCUGCAGAGAUGAAAAUGAUCUCCAGAUCACCUUUUGGGGAAAGUUCAUUGUACACCUCCGCCAGAGUCGGGGUGAACCGCUGGCACGGACCACACCACGACGCGGAGAAGUAUAAGCCGAUCUUCUUCCCCUUCAAGCUAUCAACUUUAACCUGAUACAGGACAAAAAGAUUCCUAAUUUGAGUUCUUUCAUAACGGUAAUCAGCAAGCAAGGCACACUAAUGUUAAUUGGCCACCUCACAAAAUCCUUAAAUGGCUCAUGAUACACCCAAAUAACCAGAGAAGCACUUCAGUUAAGCGCUCCUCAUUAAUUCAAUCGCAAUUUCGUAGUCUCGUCGACCAAAAUAACUAAACCACACUGAAGACGCAAGCAUUCAUACUAAAUCGAAUCCAUAUAUACUGCGUCCACGUGACUCUAUGUAUAAAUCUUUCUUCAAAAAAUCAUAAAUCAAUUACCAAUGAUCCAGUUUCUGAAGAAAACAAAUGGAUAGAAGUAAUCUUGAACUAAACUCGCUUAUCUUGAACCAAACUCGCCAGCUUGGCCAUCCCAAACCAACGGCUUCGGAAUCCCGAACUCCCGGCAAAGAACAACCAGAAAGAACUUCGGAAUUCGAAGUCCAUAGGCGCAAGAACCCGCAUCUUCCCAAUCCGACAAGAAGAUAACCGCCCAAAAAGAAUCAGAUCAACAAUUUCUCAACCUCCAGCUAACUUCGUCUCUUCAAACAAACCCAUCACCACCAGAACAAGAACCUCUCGCGCGAAAAUGGGCACCUCGCAAAACGACCCCCGCGCCCCAAAGAACACGACCAGCUUCAACAAGGACGCCGACCCACGAUUCUUUUUUCCCUCCUUUUUCCCCCCGAAAGAGCAGAAGCAAGCAAAAAGGAAAAGAACCGAGCCUCACCCGAUCGCCGUUGUUCCGGACGAGGAAGUCCCUGUCCGGAGAAGACAGCAGGGACUGCACAUCGUGCGAAGCCACCGCGCCGCCUUCGACAACAUCCGCCAUCCUCGUCGCUCGAGCUCCUCUGCGUUCCGGGCGUCUGCUUGCUGAACUUUGUUCUCCUGAGAAUCCCCUCCAAUGGCGGGCGCCUGCUCCUCAGUAUUUAUACGCGACAUGAAGAAGCUUCUCCGGCACGCAGAUAAUUUUCUUGAUUUUUUUCUUUUUAUUAUUAAUGACCAUUGACUCCUUAGUGUUUUUUUUUUUUUCAACCUUUUUUUUAUUUAGAUUUUUCUUUUUUCGGAUGCUUCCUGGGACUUUCCGAACCGCAAGCAAGGCAUCUCGGGAAGUGGGGUCCAUACGUGGGAAUGUCGCGGGGGAUGGAUGCCUUCGCCACGUCAGCAGAUCGAUGCCUUCGUUUUUUUCUUAUUUUUGAUUUUUUUUUUCUUUCGCCAUUCCUUACUUCCUUUCUAAGAGUCCACGUGUCCAGCAUCCAAGGUCGAAGUUUCCCCAGAAUUUUUCUUCUCGCCCGGUCGAUUCCAUAAUAAUGGCAUAAGUAUAUAGAAAGUCAUAAAAUUUAUCAUGUGAGUAUAAUCUAGUCUUGAAAUUUUCGAAAAGUACAAUUAAGCUUUCGUCAGGAAAGUGUAUUUGAAUUAUAAAAUUUUCAAAAAGCACAAUCAGAUUGGUCCAAUCAAAUCUUUCCGACAAUUGUAUUUUUUAAAAAGUUUUAUGACUAAAUUAAACUUUCGUGAUAAAUUUUAAGAUUUGAUAACACUUUGUGGAAGUUUUAUUACUUGAUUGUACUCUCGUAAUGAAUUUUAGGAUUUCAUUACACUUUUUAAAAAAUUUAGAAUUUAAUUAUAUUUUCCUAACAAAUUUUAGAAUUUCCAAUACAUUUAUCCCUAUAAUAAAAGUUGAAACUUUAAGUAAUUUGAAAUGUUUUGUUUUAUUUCACAAAUUUGCGUUUUGCCUUUUCCGUUAGCACGUGGCCGUCAAUUGAAAAACGAAAGCGUGCAAUUGCUCAACUCGAGUAGAUAAGCCUGAGAGUGUCAAUUCGCUUUUGCCUUGCUUAGAGAACAUUAAAAAAAAUUUGGUGAAAAGUCGUCAAAAGAUAAUGUUAUUUAUUUCUUUUCACUAAUUUUUUUUUUUUUUUGGGCGAUAUUGAAAAGUAUUAAUGGCCAAGAAUGUGGUCGGAAAGUCAAAAUGGGACAAAUAAGAAAAGCACAAAAAGAAAGGUUGGAGAACGUCGGUUGUCUAGGCGAGGACGAAACGGAUGACGUCGUCAAAGGUCGGAUGGUGACGUGUGACGCGAUUGCUCCUCGUUGAGACGCGGCACGUACAAAAGGUAUGGAGAAUAUUCCAUAGUUGAUGCUUCUUUUUUUCUUGGGGUGUGAGUAAAAUACAUUAAUGCAAUUGCUUACAAGCACAGUUCUCUAACCUUGACAAAAGAAAUGGUAAUAUAAAUUUAGGAUCUGACUAAAUUUUUAAAAAUUUAACAUUUUAAAAGAAAAAAAAACCUUAAAAAAAUGCUUGAAAACUCUCAUAAUUAUAAAAAUUUAAAAUUCGUAUGUCUACUUUCCAUUUAAGCAGUUUUUUCACAACAGCUUCAAUUGUGAAAAUGAGUUAUGCAACUCUCGCAAAAAGAUAAGUAAAUAUAUCACAAUCAUAGUUAUUUGCAACUUACUAUAACUUUUUAAUAAGCCGCUUCACUCAAUAUUAAGAUCUAUAGUUUUACAAAAAGAAUCCGUGCCACAAAAAAUUUUAGAGUAAUAUAUUCAUGAUUUAUUAUCUCAAAAUAAUUUUUAUACUGCCAAAGAAAAGGGUAAUGCUUUUUUUACUCCUCGUUUGGGUUGGACACUUUUUUUUUUAUUGUUUGACUAUACUAUCCGUUGUGAAGCCCACCACUUCUUAUACAACUUUACAAAAGUGAUAUUAUUAUUAUUAUUAUUUGGUAAUGCUUUGUAUUUUGUUUCUUCUUUUUUUUUUUUUUUCUGGGCAAGUCCCACUUUCCUCAUUCUUCUUUCUUUCUUUCUUUCCAUACCUUUAACGUCUUAGUUCUCUAUUCUUGCAAAUCGUCUUUCUAUUUUCUCUUUUGUAGGCCAUUGUCUUCUUUCAACGCCUCUAAUUCCUUCUUUAUCUUCUCUCAAAAAUCUCUCAUGCAAUUGCAAUCUCCAAAAAAACUACUUACUUCAAUACCCAGACAGAUAUUGAAAACUGAAUCAAAUUAAAUUAUUAAUUCAAAUCUCAAUUCUUAUUACCUAAAAGAACACAACUCACCUAUUGCCCUCAAUUUUAUGCCUACAUAUGGUGGAGACACUAUAAUUCAAAUCUCAAUUUUCUUUCUUGACGCCUUUUCUUUCUCUAGACACUAACAUGUACAAAAAGAAGAGAAAAAUAUACAAAAAAAGGAAAAGAGAGAAGCAAUUCUUUUCAAUAUUACCUUUCAUGGUGCAAUAAGAUCGUGUGUACGGUGGAGAAAAAGAGCUUGUUGGAGUGGUCAUUGGUGAACCCAAUGUCGGCGCUAGUGAAAGUGUAAAGGACAACGAGCUUGUCAUCAUAGAUUGAAAAACAGAGGACGAUGGGGUUCAUGCAAGAAGACAAAGAAGGAACAGCGGGAGGCGUAAAAAGAAAAAAAUGACCAACGAGAGAGGAAACAAAGAGACGAUUUAUAAAAGCGGAUACUGAGAUGUCAAAUGCAUGAAGAAAAGAAGAAGAAGGAAAAUGGGACUUGCAAGAAAAAAAGAAGAAGAAACAAAACUAAAAAUAUUUACCAAAUAAUAGAAAAAGAUCGCUAUUAUAAAGUUGUAUUAGAACUAAUUCUCAUAAGGGAUGGUAUGGUCAAAACACACACAAAAAUGAAGUGUUUAAACUAAAAGAAGAGUGGAAAAAGCAUGGCCUCAGAAAAAAUUCACAUCACUAAAAUCUCACCUCGUAAAACAUGCUAAAAUUUGUUAAUUUUACACAAAAGAUCCCUUAUGUUUCAAAAAUAUGUCAAAAUCCUUAAUUUUUCCUUGAGCCUUUGGCAAUUUAAGAUGGAAGGAGGGAGGAGGAUCAUAUUUCGUUCCUAAUUUCUACUCUCAAUUCAUUUUCUUUCGAUCACACUUCCCCAAAAUAAUAUCAUUGAAAAAACUCAUUUAUAUUAAAUCAUCAAGUUAGAUUCAUAUUGUAUCCCGAUCAUCUUAAUUAUUUAUUAUGCGUGUUUCAACGUCAGCAAUUUAAUGGGAAUAUUAAACAGAAGUUAACGGAUGAUAAAUUUGUCACGAUUACAUUAAUUUCAAAUUUUUCAUAAUGUGAAAAUCAAAUUUAAGAACAGUAAUAUGGACAGGAAAUUUUUAAUGGUAUUGAUCCGCACGACAUAUCACAUCAUGCCACCUCAACAUUCGGUUCCAAACUGGCUUUUCAAAAAUUUCGAAAAGACCGAGAAAGUCUAGGCCAAAGUCUUCGCGAAUUAAUAAUUGCCGACAGUGCUGAUCCAGGGCAGGUCGUCCUGGGAAGAUCAGAAUAUGAAACCUCAGUAGUGCACAGACAUUGAGAAAAAAACCAAGAAUAUAAUCAUCAUUGUCUUUUUCUUGCGUUUGUUCGGAUUCCCCACUCCAAAGCCACGUGUCCUUUAUUUUAUUUUUUCUUUUUUCCUAUUUUUUUCUUUGCAUUUGCUUCGAAUAUCACUUUGAUAUGAAUGUCGCCUUUAACUUUUUCUCUUUGCUCGUUAAAUCUAAGUACAAAAUAAUUGCUAUUUAUAGUCACCUGCAACUUUUUAAAAUUUUUCUCAUUCGAAUUUUCUUUUUUAAUUCAAAGAGUGUUCAAGAAGAGCUUUUUGCUUCACUUAAAUCCAUCGACGAAGUGGAAUAAAUUCAUUUAUAGUCCGAUAAGCCCUCAGUAUAUCUAAACUUUACCCAAUUUUCUAAUGAAUUUUUAAAAACUCAGUUUCCUUAAAAAUCAUAAACAUUAAGGGUAUGUUCGUUCAUGAUAAAGGAAAAUAUUUUCUAUAAAAUAACUUUCGAGUUUUUAUUUGUUUAGUGCUUUAUAGAAAUUGAUUUUUCUCUUGUUAGAAUAAGAGGCCGUUUUUCUUCCAAUCCAAGCAUGGUGAUGCUUUUGAUAAAUUAAUUAGUUUUCUGUUAUCCAAAUACCACAAAGUCUGAUAAUAAUAUUUAUAAAAAAAUGAUUUUUUUUCAAGCAAACAAUCCUAAGGUCUGUCCCAAUUCUACUCCGAAUCUUUUUUUUUUCAAAGAAAAAUUAUCAACUUUCACUUAAGUCCCCAAUUAACCCUCUGUCCAAAUGUCACUCAUUUUUUCUUUAAAAUCAUCAACAUCAUGAGGCUACUAUUAUUUUAUAUGAAAGUGAGGGUGUUGAUAAAGAUGUAGAUUUUGAUAAUGAAGAUUGAAAUGACCUUGAUGUUGAUAAUAUCAAAGAAACUAGUAGCAAUUAUUUUAUGUCUAGGUAGAUUUAGGACUAAAGUGAAAGUUAGUAAAAUAUCUUUAGACAAAGGAAGUUCGAGACAAAAUUGAGAUUAAAUCUAAAGUUUGAGAGUUUUUAAGGGUAUUAGGACAAUAUCUGGAGGGUCAGCUCACUGAUUUUUUAAGUCCCAUAAUCACUUACCCCGCCACAUCUCGUCAAACUACAUUUUGGAGAAGCUCGAAUUGCAAAAUAACUAAAAGGCCCAACUAUCAAACAAAGCAAAUUAGGUUUCAACAUCUUGUUUUGUUUAUUGAACUGGGGCUAUUGUUAGCUAAUUUAUUGUGUCAUGAAACAAUUUUUUUUUAAUCCUUUUCCCUUUAAUGGAAUUAAGCACCGUAAUCAAUGAAUAGACGGAGCAACCUUCUUAAACUUAAAAACACAUAAAAUAAGGAUCACAAGGGGACAUAAAUAAUUUAUGUUAUAUAUUCCCACUUCUAAAAAGAUGAUCUCAAACAAAUGAAAUGACAUGUCAAUAGUUGUAUGUGUUAAAAUAUUUAUAUAUCAAAUCACGUUUUCAUCGAAUAAUUUAAUUUUCUAAAAUUAUUGGUACAAAACCUAUUCAUGAUAUCAAAGUAGAAGGUCUUGUAUUUAAAUAUUUACUUGGUCCAAAAUCCCACCGUGCGCUUAUUAUCCUUCUUCAGCUUUGCUGAUUUUUAUUUAUUUUUAACAAUUUAACCAUGACUUUCUAAUUUACAUAGAUCAAUAUAUUUUUAUUUGAAAUUUCUUAUAUAAUUGUUUCAACCCUAACAACAAAAUGUUCUUGUCUAAAAUCAAUAUAAAUAUAGCGUUAAUAAGGUUAUAAUAUUUUACCCCAAAAAAAAAAAAGUAAGCACACUAGAAGUCCUAAAAUUUAUUGCAAAAGCGCAAUUGAAUUCUAAAAUUUUUAGUGCAAUCAAGUCCCUUGGUUAAUUUUGUCUAACUUAGCUAAUGGAAAAUGUUAGCAUAGCAUUUUUACUAUUUUUUUCUCUCCUACAUGGAGCUAACGUAGUCAAAACAAAAAUGAUAAAGCUAAAAAGGUGUUAUUUUUAUCCAAAUUUGAUUUCUUAAUUUAAAUGUUAUUUAAGAUUUCAAGUGCACUUACCGUACAAAGAAAAGUAAAGCCUUACGCAUGACAAUUUUUAAAAUUGUGAUGGAGCUAUGUCUUCAAAAGGAUAAACUUCAACCACUGGUUCAUUUUCUUGAUUAUGAUUCCGCCACAGUAAAUCGCAUGGGACUCCAAACAUUUCUCGACAUUCUAGACUCGAUCAAAAUCUAUAGAUUUAGGUUUAGUCUUGAAUCGCAGUUAAUGCCGACAUUUCUUUGUCCUUACCAAAGAAAGAGAAAAAGAAGUGUGGAAAUGUUGAAAUUGAAGUCUUUGAAUGUACCAAGUUCCAUUUUCUGCUAAAGAAGGAAGGAACAUUCGAAGUCAAAUGUACUGGUUCAAUCUGCAAAUUUUACCUCUUCGACGAAGUGGAAGAUAUAUGAACAUCAAGUCUCAUGCUCUUGACAUUUACAUUUGAGUUUGAUAUAAGGGGAAGUUGAAUUAAUCCAUCUUCUUUCCCCAAGAACUAGACAUUGCUCACAGGUGCUAUUUCGUGAACGAGAGCUGCACAAUUCGGCCUAGAAAAGCCGACAGUUCUUGCAAACCGAACUGCUUCUAUAAGCAUGUAGUAUCACUAUUGAGUAUCAGCAAGGAACUACUUUUGCAGCACUUCUUCUGUCUUGUUUCUUACGAUCGCUCUUCCUUAAGAAGACUAGCAAUAUGCAUUCCGGGAGCAUGGGAUCAUCAAGCAAGACUUUGGAGAAUUAAUGCGGGAUGAUUAACUUUUCAUUGCCACAAAUUAUAUCAGCAUAUCCAGAUGUAGAGUCACCAUCUGCUGAUGUAACGGAGGACCUAUUACCAUAACCAUAAACUGAACAAGAACUAACCACUAGGACUUGAGGAAAGAUCCAUACAAAGUGUAUUGAUUAAACAUGUUCUGUCAAGUCCAGUGUGCAUGCAAAUCUCGAAGCUGCAUCAUCAAAAGGAGAGACGGAGACACUUGCAUGACAAACGGACAAUUCAAGCCUACCACUCUGUUUGGCACACGGCUAGUCGACGAUGAACAUUAUAUCACGACAGCAAAUUGUCAAAGUCAUAAUACACGCCAUAUAUCUCACAUACAAACCCUUUGCAGAUCAAGCUCGGAAACAUCCACCCAGAAAAAAAGAAGAAAAAAGAACUGCUUCAAAGAAGUCAUAUAUAAAGAAACUACAAGACAGUAACUUCUAGGCCUUAUAACAGACCUCACCAUCACAGAUUCAUCCCUCUUUGGCAUCUCCUCCUUCCUCUGCUUCCUCCCCAGCUGCUUCAGCAUCUUCAUCUAACUCGUUUUUAGUCGUUUUCUCUUCUUUAACAGCGCAUUUUGGGUGGAGAUCAAAGUCACACUCCUCGCAAUAAUACGACCACCCCUCCCCUGCCUUACCGCAGCCAUCACAAUUGUACCUUCUCCUCUGAGCAGGAACGAGCUCGUGCUUUUCAUGCAAAGGAUGCUUCAACUUCUCUGGCCAGCCUUUUAUACUUUCCUUGAACUUUUCCUCAAACUUCUUGAGAUGUUCGGCAGUAAAAGGAUAAGCAUCAGCCCCGUGGUCCAUUAUAAGAUCCCUUGCUUUUUUACUCACCGUCCGGCCCGUUGGGCCUAUGGCUACAAGCAUGGGGAUCCCCUUGACCUUGAAUCUGCGACUCAGGAAUUUCUUCCUCUCAUCACCAAAGGGAAGCGCCAGCCAUGGCAUCUGAGCAAAAUAAUCGUCGAAGGCAGUUUGGUCCUUGUCGCUGGAGAUGAAGAUCACCUCAAAGGCAUCGUCUGUGGCCUUGAUCUUUUCGUAUGCCUCCGAAAGCACCGGCAGGAAUGCUCGGCAAGGAGGGCACCAGUGUGCCGAGAAGUAAAGGAGGAUAGUCUUCCCUACCAAGUCCGAUACUGGAAUCUGCAAUCAAAGUUAAGAAACGACCUUUUAGACGAACCACCAAUCAAUGGAGAAGGCAUGUGAAAACUGCAUACAUGGAAAGAAUUUUCCUAGUUAUGGACCUGGUUUCAAUCCUUUCCUCAGAUCAAGUAACCGAGGGACAACAAUAUUUAGGACCUCAUUGUAGACAUUAAAAAUUUCCCCAGUCAUUAGCUUCUAGGGGAAAAAACAAAUUUACCUUGGUUCCAUCCUUUCCAAUGACGAAAUCCAGAUCCCCUGAAACCAAGAUCGACUCCAAGGUCUGAGAUUCUUCCCUUUUCUUCUCUAUCUCUGCAAGCUCUGCAAACUUUUCUGGAGUGAAGGGAUAAGCUGUGAUGCCAUGCUCUUCGACAGUUUCGGCAACGUUGGCAUGGACAGUCUUCCCAUCCUGACCGAUAAUGACCAGAGUGGGUAGGGUCGACAGCUUAAAGUACCUCACCAACUUCUCGCAUUUCUUGUCUUUGAAUGGUAAUGAAAGCCAUGGCAUGCUGCCAAAGGAUUGGUUGAAUGAUGCUUCAUCAUCAUCGAGAGGUAUCUGAACGAUCUCAAAACUCUCUCCUCUGGCCUUCAAUUUCUCAUAAACCUCCAGUAACUUAGGCGUGAAAUCGACGCAUGCCCUGUGCACGGACAACGAGAAGUACAGACCCACUGUUUUCCCUUCAAGCUCAGUAACAGGAACCUACUUUGGCCACAAAACUAUUAGUAAAAGGAGGAUGGAAAACCGAAUCAUAAGCACAUGCGACCAUCAGUUUCAAAUGCAUCGAAGAUCUUUUUUAGGUUUACCUGAUUCCGAUUGGACGAAACUACGAAGUUACGAGAUCCAUGGACCAAAAGAGAGGUCAAUGAUUGAUUUAUCCUGGCAGCUUCUUCCUGGUCUUUCAACUCUUUGAUACGUUCUGGAGUGAAAGGGUGACCUUCCACUCCAUACUCACGGACAAUCGCAACUCCGCUAUCUGUUAAGACCGUACCUGUGCCAUCGAGAAUGACAAGGUGGGGUAUCCCCCUCACCUUAAACAAUUCAUCCAAGCUAUUGCGCUUGUCCAAGUCGGAAAACGGGAUUGCAAGCCACGGCAUCUUGGAAAAGUAUCCACUGAAGGACCCUUCAUCCUUAUCUGCAGAGAUAAAAAUGAUCUCCAGAUCACCUUUUGGGGAAAGUUCAUCGUACACCUCCGCCAGAAUCGGGGUGAACCGGUGGCACGGACCGCACCACGAUGCAGAGAAGUACAAGCCAAGCUUCUUCCCCUUCAAGCUAUCGACCUUAACCUGAUAUAGAACAAAAAGAUUCCUAAUUUUAGUUCUUUCAUACGGUAAUCAGCGAGCAAGGCACACUAGAUCACUUGACCACCACACAAAAAUCCUGAAAGUGCUCAAGAUACACAUCCAAAUGCCAACUGCAGAAGCACUUCCCUUAAGCACUGCUCAUUAAAUAGUUAGCAAAUCAGCAGUCUUCUCCACCAAAACAAGUAUACCACACAGAAGGUGUGAGCAUUUACACUAAAGAGCAUUACUUCAUAGCAAUAUCGGAUCCAUAUACACUGCUCCCACCUGAUCCAACUCCAAGUAACAUGUCUUUCUCUAAAAAGUAAUGCAUCAACUACCGAUCAUCCAGUUUCUGAAGGAAACAAAUGGACAGCACUCGAAAAUGAUGAUCCUAGAUCAGACCAACUUUAGCUUCUCUUGAACUAAAUUUAAAAACCGAUCAGCGAAACAACCCCACACGAAGACGAAGGCCACGAGAACUUCGACAAGGACGCCCACCCAUAAUUCUUUUUCUUUCACCUCAUCCAGCGAAAGAGCAAGAGUGAAAGAAGAGAACUGAGUUUCACCUGAUCGCCGUUGUUCCGGAUGAGGAAGUCCCUGUCCGGAGAAGACAGGAGGGACUGAACAUCGUGAGAAGAAGCCCCGCCUUCGACAACGUCCGCCAUCCUGGUCGCGUUCGUUCCUUGUGUCCUGUUCUCGUGUCUCUGCAGAGAGUCUGCCUGAGAAUCCUCCUAUGGCGGGCUCCUGCUGCUCUGUUUAUAUACAUAAAGAAAAUCCCGUGCAAGCACAUAUAUUAUUUAUUUUUAUUAAUAUUAUUAUUACGAUUAUUUGCUCUUUAAUUUUCCCUUUUUCUAUAUGUAUAAAUAUAUAUAUAUAUAUAUUAUUUUUUUUUCGGUUUCUGGAUGCUUCCUUGGACUUUUGGGGACGGCAAGGACGUCAAGGACGGUAGGAAACACGUGGACACGCAUGAUAAAUCUCAGUCUCCAUUUUCUUAUUUUGUAUAUAUGUUUUAAUUUACUACCUUUUACCUUUCCUUGCUUCCUACGCUUCCGGUAAGCGGUGUGUUUGGUAAUCAUUCUGUUUCGAGUAAUACUUUUUUAUGAGAAAUGAUUUUUUUUUCUAUUUCUGUUAUUGGGAAUAAUUUUUGAACAAAAAAAUGUAUUUAGUAACUUACCAAAUAUUAUAUUCUCGGGAUAAAAAUACGUUUGGUAAAAUUCUUAGAUUUUUUUUAUUUCUUUUAUUUUUUUAAUUAUUUUACUAUUUAUUCUUAUUUUUUCCUUUUUCUUUUUUCUUUUUCUCUUUGGUUGGUCACUGGUGACUGCCGUGGUCGGCGACGUCUGGCGUGCUUGCCAAAGUCUCGCUAGGCCAAGGUGAGGCUCGACGAGGCUCGGCCUCACCUAAGCGGUGCAAGGGUUGGCCUCGUGUCAGCAAGGGAGGCUGAGCCUCGUCGUGGCUUGGCGUCUUCGAGAGUUAGCGACGCUCCGGCAAGGUCAUCGGCCCUCGUCUGGCCGGUUAGGCCGGCGACUGGCAAAAUGAAGAAGAAGAAGAAAAUAAAGAGAAGAAGAAAAUAGAAGAAAAAAGAAGAGAGAAAAAUUGAUUCUAGAAAUUGUUUUGAAAAAAGUAAAUCACUUGAAAAAUAUUUUCUUAAAAAUAAUCACUUGUAUCGCUUACAAUAAUGAAUAAGUGAAAAAAUAUCUUUAUUGUCCAUGAAAUUGUUUAUUUAUAAAUUAUUAUCGAUUUAACUAAUAAUUUUAAGAGAUAUAAGUGAUGAUUUUUAGGAACAUAUUUUCUAAAUCAUUUAUUUUUAGCAAAAUAAACUGAAUUUUAGAUUGCAUCUUAUUAGUUAUAGAAUUUAACUCAUGACCCAAAAUAAAAGAAAACUCAUGAAUAAUCCUAUUUCAUACGGUUUAAUAUUCAUCAUGCAUGCCGUCUAGCGCUUAGGGACGCGCAGGAAAGUUUGGGAUGGCUGGGACACGUCAGCAAGUCGGCUUUAUCUUCUCAUUUUAUUUGUUAUUUGACCCCUUGACCGUUGCUUGCUUCCUCCACAAGAAGUUCAUCUCGAAAAAUUAAAGCUUGACAAAAUUUCGUUUUUUUUACCCUCUCAAAUUUUUAUAUAAGUUAGAUUUUAAAAGCUUGACAAAAUUUCCUCUUUUUACCCUCUCAAUUUUUAUAUAAUUAGAUUUUAAAUUCUUUUGAGAGCUAAAUUGCAUUUUUGCCUUUUUAUUCGCGCAUGGGUUGGCGUUAUGUGAGAAAUUAAAGGUAUGAUUGCUCAGGUCAAUUUUUAAUUAUAAUUUAGAUUUUUAAGUUUUGAAGAAUUUCUUUCUUAAUUUUUUAAGAAUUUCAGAUUUACCCCUUAAAUUUUUGUUGGUUGCCAAACAAAAAAUAAAGUUGAUGGGCCUAAUAAUAAAAUAGGGUAUAAAAUGGUAAAUCUAUCGCUACGAAUCUAUCUAAUGAAGAACUAAUUCCCUAUAAAAAAAAAAAAAAUUCUCAACUUUAGGUCUAGUUCCAAUUCUCUCUUAAUUUUUUAUCUAGAAAAAAAUCUAAAACUUUAGAUCCAGUCCAAAUUUGUCCCCAACUUUUAUUUGACUUAAAAAACUCAACUUUAAAUUCAAUCUUAAAUCUAUUUCAAACUUUUUAUCUUUAUCUAAGAGAAAAAUCAUCAAUUUUGACUUUAGUUUCAAAUUUGCCUCCAUUAGUCCUCUAUUCAAAAAUCAUUGUUAGUUGUCCGUAAUUUUCAUAUUCUAUAAUAGUUUUAUUUUGGAGAUAACUUUUCACGUCACCUUCCUAACGUGGAUCUCUUAUCAAUGUGUAAAUGCCAUAUUAAGUAGGGAUUACACCACGAGCCUAGAUUUGAAAAUAAAUUGAAAGCUGGUGAUUUUUUAGACAAAACAAAAUUCAGGUUUUGGGGUAUUUUCUUUAAAAAAAAAAAAAUAGAGGCAAAUUCGGGACUGAAUCUAAAGUUCGGGUUUUUUUUUUAGACAAAAAAAAUUGGAACAAAAUUACGAUUAGACUUAAAGUUGGAAAUGUUUUAGGAAAUUAGAUAAUUUAAUCAAGAGAAAAAUCAUAGACAAGAAAAAGAUAAAUACGAAUUCGUUGAGUUGAUAGGGAUAACUGAAGAAAAUAAUGCAAUUGAAAAAUGUAAAUUCCAUGAUAUAAGAAGUUGGCAAAAAUUAGGAUGAUAAGGCUGACUUGAAAAGGUAAGGAUAAUUUCUUUGCUUCGUCACGCUAACCAACCCAAACUUGACCACCAAGGAUAAUUCACUUUCCUUUGUUCUCUCGAGGCUCCAUGGAGCUCCAUUAUAAGCUAUUUUACCCCUUUCUUCUUCUUCUUCUUCUUCUUCUUUUUUUGAUCUUUCUAAACUUUACUAAUUCACAAUUAUUUAGCAUAUAUGAUCCACGAAGACUGUGAUUAACAACAAUAAAUAGCAACAAAACAGCCGCAUCAAAUAGAUGAAAAAUCUCGUAGCUUUUUCUUAAGCGAAACCUAUCAUUUUUCAAUCCUCUUUGAGCUUCAAUACCCAAAAGCAUCAAUUACAUUGUAAUGUUUAUAGCGGAGAAAUUACUAAAUCAAUCAUAAAUUUAUAAUACGGAUGUAAAUUUCAUCAUUAAUUUUUUCAUUUCUCAAGCCACUUCAAAUGAUAAUUCUAAAAGUUGAAAAUUCUACAAAAAUCCGAAUAGGAGGAUGAGACCGAUUUGCAGGGAGGGUGAAAAGGGGGGGAAUUAAAAAGUAUUAUGCGAAACUUGGUGACCAAGGAGGUGUUAUCCUUAGUCAAAAAGGAGAUAAAGAAGGAAGAACGUGAAGGAGGGGUUGGAAAAUGACCGUGCGCCUGACGUGUCUGCGCUGUUGGUCACAAGGACGUGUUCUUGCUAGUCAACAUCAAGGUGAUUGUCGUACAAAAAGCAAGGGGGGAUUCCAUGCCGGUGUUUCUUUUUCUUGGAAAAUUGGUGUUCGAUCUCAUCCUUAUUGGUAUUCACACUCUUUUGGUCAAGCUCCUAAGCAGGAACGAGGACAAAAAGCAACAUGAAAUUGGAGAUCAAACUAAAUUUUGAAGAAGGGAGGAGGAAAACUAGCAUUAUAAACCGAAAUCCAUAUGCCUAACUAGCAUUCGGAACAGAUUUCUGAACAUCUUCAACAGGUCCUCUCCUUCCUCUUUGUUUGUUUGUUUUGUUUUUGCUAAGAAAGUAAGUAAAUAGAUUAUUAGAAUGAAAAAAAAAUAAUAUAUGGGGUGCAUACUCGAGAGACUUGGUAAAAAAACUAUAAAAUAAUUAAAUAAUGAAAAUAAUUUUAAAAAAAAUGUAUAUAUACUUAUCAAGUUCAAUUGAGAAUUGGAUUGGUACUCACCAAUUUCAUUAGAUUGAAAUCAGGAUUUGGAUCAGUCCUCAUGGGAACCGCCAAUUUUGUACUAGUUCAGCCUGAUUUUGUGCCGUUUAGAUGAUUUCCGAUUUCUUAACACACCUCUAAUUGUGACUUUUAUAAAGUAUAUUGUAAAUACCUCACAGUUAUGGCUACUUUAAAAUUUCAGCACCCUUUGAUGACUUUCUAGGAAGCCACCGCAGCCAACAUUGAAGUGCUACAAUUUAUAAAAUAUGUAUUUCAUAACCACAAAAAGCCACGUCAUCUUAUACAUUUUUACCAAACUGGCUCUACUAAUUUUGAAAGGGAAAGACCAAGAACAAAGAGUCAACGUCAAGUCUUCGGGCAUUAAUUAUUGCCGACGAUACCUAAUCCACGACGGGUGGUCCUGGUCAAGCAGGCUAGAAAAACUCACUCUUUGCACGGAUAUCGUGAAAAACAGAAUAUAACACGUGUUUUUCAUUUUUAUCUUUUGUACAAUUUAUUUUCGAUUUGCUCUUAAUCCGACUUUUAUAUGGAUAUUUCCUUUUUACUUUCUCUUGUUCAUUAAAUUUUUGCAUCGAGUACAUAAAUACUGAUGCGUACCUGUAUUUUUCAAUCUUUUUUCAUUUCAAAUUCUUUUCAUUUACCUUGCUUGAAAUUUUUUUUGCAACUUUACAGUGACUUUCUACAUUUAUAUAUGUUAAUAUUUUUAUUUAGACUCUUUUAUAUUGUUGCAUCGAUUUCACUGGCAAAUUAUUUUGGUUAUGUCCUUACUUUUGUUAUCAACGUAAGUACAUUGUCAAUAAGUAUGAUAUACAAAAAGGGGGGAAAAGAAAUGGUGAACUCGUACCGACUCAGGAUUGGAAGGAAAAAAUACACUUAUCGAAGCUAAAUCGCCUGGUGCCAAUCGUGACCACUAGCUCAUACAGCCAGCUGCAUUGUCUAUUUUCGACAGCCGUGAAGCAACUUUUUAUGAGAGCAUCUUAAUCUCUCUUUCUGCUGGCAACCCACUUCAUCAAAUACUUUACAUGGCCAGCCCGACCACAUUUUUUCCCAUUACUUUCCUCACUGGCAAUGAGUUGAACUGAAUGAGUCUGGAAACGUCAAAGGUUUUGGUGGAAUGCUAGACUGCGUAUCGGAGGACAGUGUUGAACUGGAGGAAGUGCCUAAGGCUUGAGGAAGGCUCGUGUGGAGGUUGAUACCAGAGCUUUCUUCUUCUCCAUGGCUAGUUGGUUCCCAUUGCUCCACGAGGGGAUGCAAAAUAUUGACAAUGUGGCCCAUGUCCGGUCUCUGGAACGGUUCCUCAGCAGUGCAAUGACGAGCCAGCUCAGCAACUUUGAUUAUACUCUCUAAGGUUUCUUCAUCGGGGUCAAGAGUGUGGUCGAUAGCUUUCAGGAUGUUUUCCUUAUCGAUCAGAACUCUACGGAACCAAGUGACCAAGUGCGCCCUCUCAUCUGGCAUGGUGUUGUCUAAUGCUUUUCUACCGGUAAUGAUCUCCAUCAAGACAGCACCAAAUGCGUAAACGUCCACCUUUGUAGUUACCCUUCCAGUGGCUGUACGGACAGAAAAAGACCCAUACAAAGUUCAAUGCAAUUUCAUCGAUAAGGAAAAGAAAAGCCUCUGCUCAGAUUUCAUGUUAAGAGAAGCUAAAAGCGCCCCAAGAAUGGGUAACAUAAAGAAGUCACCCUUGGUUUCUAAUCAACAAUUUGUAGUCAGGUGAUUUCACUAUCCCCCUAAUGUGGAUCAGAGCAAUUGAAUUGACUUAGAUAUUUUAACAGCAAUCGUGCACAUUUGAGUUAAUUAAUGCGUGCUGAUCAAUGAGGUGAAAACAUAGAUAUAAAGUCCACUAGUUCGUCUGCAGGACUCCUAUCCAUUAUUACUACUGAAAGAUAUCACACUUAUGUAAUCUCGAUGAAAGAAACAAUAGAGAUCAAUUUACCUAAUGCAUAUUCAGGAGCUAAAUACCCAAAAGUUCCAGCCAACUGUGUCUGCAUGGAAUACUUCCCAUCAGGAACAUUUUUAACCAAACCAAAGUCAGCAACUUUGGCUCUCAUGUCAUCUUCCAGCAGUAUGUUUACUGGCUUCAAAUCCCUAUGGAUAAAUUUUUGUUGGGCUAAACUGUGCAGGUAUUCCACUCCUCUAGCAACAUCCAAAGCAAUGGUCACCCUUUGCUUCCAAGUCAGAGGUGCAUACCCCUUCUCUUGCCACUCGAACAGAUGUUGCGCGAGAGUCCCUUGUGGCAUAUAUUCAUACACUAAAAGCCUCUCAUCACCUUUGAUACAAUACCCUAAAAGCAUGACUAAAUGCCUAUGCCUCACUUUUGUAAGUACUGCAAUCUCAGCUUGGAAUCCCUUCAUUCCCUUCGUGCCCAUUGCCCCAGAUUCCAUUCUUUUAACAGCAAUUUUGGUGCCAUCAUGCAACUCCCCUUUGUAAACAACACCAAAACCACCUCUUCCUAAAAUGUUCUCUUCACUAAAAUUACAAGUCGCUUGUCUAAGGACUUCAAUUGAAAUUUUAACAUUUCCUCCUUUAAGAACGGGAAAAUCACUAUGGUCCCCACUGCUUUGGCUAUGCAAUUCACUUGGAAGCCCACCAUAACCAUUCAUACCAUUCCCGGCCCCAUUCUUAGCUACUUCCAUCCCAAUUUCCGGAUUGUCUACACUAUUAAAUUUCCUGUGUCGUCGGAUGAUGUAACGGAAUUUGUACAAGACAAGCAACACCACCACGAUGAAAAUAAGGACACCUACGACAACAGCAGCAAUUACACCAUCUGAAAGUGAAGAACCAUUUGACGAUCCAGGUGAGCCACCAUCAGUCGAAUUCGUCCCUGAACCACCGCUGCCUCAGCCACCAGUGUCCGUUUUACCAAUUAAUGGAUUACCAAUAGUAGUCAAUUUCACUGAGGCUGGGAAAACCGGUAUCGACCCAUUGAGAUUAUUGUUCGACACAUCAAGAACUUGAAGCUGAGUCAGCGUAGUCAAGCUUUCCGGAAUAGAGCCAGUAAGAUUAUUAUCGUUCAACAGCAGCGUGCGGAGCAAGGUGAGAUUCGCAAAUGCGGGCGAGAUGGUCCCACUAAACCCCCGCUUCGAGAAAAUAACAGAGGUCACAUUCUUCCCCUGGCAAGAAAUGGCACUCUAGCUGCCGUUGCAAGCAUCAUUCCCAGUCCAAGAAUCCGCCGGCGUGAUCGGAUACCCCAACGUACUAGCCACCUCAAGCAACGUAGUAACCUGUGGGUCGCAAGGGCCCGGCGCACUGUUGCAAAAGCUAUUGGUACCCCCGUAGGUAACGCUAAUUCCACUGCUAUUACUAGGGACGGGACCCUGCAACUUAUUGUUAUCCAAGGACACAUUCUUCAAGCCGGGGAGUGCCAACAGCGAGGCGGGCACAAGCCCAGUGAACUGGUUGUAGCUAAGCUGGAGAUCGAGCAAAUUAGUGCAUUGCGAGAGAUCGGGGAUCGGACCUGUGAACUGGUUGUUCUGGAGCCAGACCCGGCUCAGCUGGGUCAUCCCGGCCAACACGCUGAUGCCGCCGGAAAGCCCCAUCGCCUGGUUGUUGAUCCAGAGGUUCUGGAUCGAUGAAGUGCCGAAGGAGGAGGGGAGGGGCCCGGUGAGGUUGUUGUAGGAGAGACUCAGACUCAUCAGGCUAGGGAGGGUUCCGAGGAAGUCAGGGAUCGUGCCGGUGAUGUUGGUGUUGUCGGCGUAGAGGACAGUCAGGGACGUCGAGGCGUUGAGCUCCGCCGGGAUCUGCCAGGAGGGGAGGUCAUGAUUUUCGCUGAGGCUGAGGGUCUGGAGGCUGGUGAGGCCCUGGAAGGCGCCGGAGGUGAUGGAGGUGAAGUUGUUGCCGUCGAGGUAGAUGGACUGGAGGGAGACGAGGCCGGCGAAGGAAGGGACGGCGCCGGAGAGGGAGUUGCUCUGGAGGGAGAGGCUCUGGAGCUGGGAGAGGGAGGAAAGAUCCGAGGGGAGGGCGCCGGAGAGGGAGGAGGAAGAGAGGUUUAUGACGGUGACCCGGGAGGAGGAGUCGCAGCUGACGCCUGUCCACUUGCAGUAGGUCUGGCCCGAGGACCAGCCCGACGGCUUGAGGGCGGCGAGGAUCUCGGCCAUGACGGCGGAGUCGUCGGCGGAGACGGCGGAGGCGGCGAGGAAGAGGAGGAGGAGGAGGAGGAGGAAGGGGGCCGGAGAGCGGAGGCUCCCUGCGGCCAUUGUCGACGGCGUUGCUGUGGGUCGAGAGAGAGAAAGGCGUAAGCAGAGGGGGUGGGAUGCGCGGAGAAGGAAACAGAGGAAGUCGCGGUCGUUCUCUGUUUGUUCUCCUACGAGGCGAGAGAGAGAGAAAAACCCAGCAAAUUCAAGUGUCGAGAAGACUUUGCGGGAGUGUUACGUAUUUACUGAGGAGCAGGUCUUAUGAACAAGAGAAGGACGCGAGGGAGAGCGGCAUCACCCGGGAAAAUGGGGUCCAACAAUGUAGGAAACACGUGGACGCAUCGUACACGUCAGCAAAUCUCAGUCUCCAAUUUUCUUAUUAUAUAUAUAUUUUUUCGGUAAUUGAUAUAUAUUUUUUAAUUUACCCCGCUUUUACCAUUCCUUGCUCCCUACUCCCCCGAGAAGCCGCAUCUUUACCCUCCGAUGCUUGAAGUACUCAAAAAGAAUUUUGAUUUCAACCUUCUCAAUAUUAUAUUAUAACAAGUUAUGUAUUAUUUUUUUUUCAAAACAGUAUUUUAUUGAUGAGCUUGAGAAUUUUGCCUUUUUUGUAGGCACCCUUGCCUCUCUCCCUCCCAUUAAAUUUGAGAAAUUGGGGAAAUAAAAGAGGAAAUCAUUGGUGAAAAAUUCUAGAAGAAUCCGAAAUCCGCAAUGAUUAGGAGGAUGGGACGAAUUUGCAAGUAAUGUGGAAAAGGGGGAAGUAUAAUGCGAAACUCAGUGGCCAAGAAUGUGUUGUCCGUUAGUCAAAAUAAGAGAAUAUUCAAUUUCGAUGCUUUUCUUUUUUCUUGACUUUGCUAAUGAGAAAUCAAUUAGGAUUAAUUUUCAGUCAUUCUUUUAUGAUGUGAUACUAUCUGUUUGUUAAAUAAACAGAAAAUCCAGGAAAAAAAUUGAAAUUAAGGGUGUGUUUGUUUUGAAAAGAAUAUCACUUGAAAAAUAUUUUCUUAAAAAUAAUCAUUUGUAUUGCUUACAAUAAUGAACAAGCGAAAAGUAUCUUCAUUAUCCAUGAAAAUGUUUAGUUAUAAAUUAUUAUCAAUUUAACUAAUAACUUCAAGAGAUAUAAGCGAUCAUUUUAAAAAAAAAAUACUUUUUAAAUUAUUUAUUUUUAGCAAAAUAAACUGAAUUUUAGGUUGCAUCUUAUUAGUUAUGGAAUUUAACUCGAGACCAAAAAAAAAAAGGAAAACUCAUGAAUAAUCCUAUUUCAUAUGGUUUAAUAUUCAUCAUACAUGCCGUCUAGCUCUGAGGGAUGCGCAGGAAAGAUUGGGAUAGCUGGGACACGUCAGCAAGUCGGCUUUAUCUUCUCAUUUUAUUUGUUAUUUGACCCCUUGACCGUUGCUUGCUUCCUCCACAAGAAGUUCAUCUCGAAAAAUUAAAGCUUGACAAAAUUUCUUUUUUUUACCCUCUCAAUUUUUAUAUAAGUUAGAUUUUAAAAGCUUGACAAAAUUUCCUCUUUUUUACCCUCUCAAUUUUUAUAUAAUUAGAUUUUAAAUUUUUUUAAGAGAUAAAUUGCAUUUUUGCCUUUUUAUUUGCGCGUGGGUUGGUGUUAUGUGAGAAAUUAAAGGUAUGAUUGCUCAGGUCAAUUUUUAAUUAUAAUUUAGAUUUUUAAGUUUUUAAGAAUUUCUUUCUUAAUUUUUUAAGAAUUUCAGAUUUACCCCUUAAAUUUUUUUUGGUUGCCAAAAUAAAAAAGUUGAUGCGCCUAACAAUAAAAUAGGGUAUGAAACAUGGUAACUCUAUCCUUACGAAUCUAUCUAAUGAAGAACUAAUUCCCUAUUUUUUUUUUAAAAAAAAAAUCUCAACUUUAGGUCUAGUUCCAAUUCUUUCUUAAUUUUUUUUGUCUAGAAAAAAUUCUAAAACUUUAGAUCCAUUCCAAAUUUGUCCCCAACUUUUAUUUGACUGAAAAAACUCAACUUUAAAUUCAAUCUCAAAUCUAUUUCAAACUUUUUAUCUUUAUCUAAGAGAAAAAUCAUCAAUUUUGACUUUAGUUUCAAAUUUGCCUCCAUUAGUCCUCUAUUAAAAAAAUCAUCAUUAGUUGUCCGUAAUUUUCGUAUUCUAUAAUAGUUUUAUUUUGGAGAUAACUUUUCACACCACCUUCCUAACGUGGAUCUCUUAUCAAUGUGUAAAUGCCAUGUUAAGUAGGGAUUGCACCAUGAGCCUAGAUUUGAAAAUAAAUUGAAAGUUGGUGAUUUUUUUAGAUAAAAAAAAAAAUCGAGGCAAAUUCGGGACUGAAACUAAAGUUUGGGCUUUUUUUUAGACAAAAAAAUUGGACAAAAUUAAGAUUAAAGUUGGAUUUUUUUUAGGAAAUUAGGUCAUUUAAUCAAGAGAAAAAUCAUAGACAAGAAAAAAAUAAAUACAAAUUCGUUGAGUUGAUAGGGAUAACUGAAGAAAAUAAUGCAAUUGAAAAAUGAAAAUUCUAUGAUAUAAGAAGUUGGCAAAAAUUAGGAGACUGACUUGCAAAGGUAAGGAUAAUUUCUUAAACUUUUUUUUCAGACAAAAAAAAUUGGAACAAAUUUAAGAUUAGACUUAAAGUUGGAAAUUUUUUAGGAAAUUAUAUCAUUUAAUCAAGAGAAAAAUCAUAGACAAGAAAAAGAUAAAUACGAAUUCGUUGAGUUGAUAGGGAUAACUAAAGAAAAUAAUGUACGAUUCACUUUCUUUUGCUCUCUCGAGGCACCAUGGAGCUUCUUCUUCUUUAGAUCAUUUAAUCAAGAGAAAAAAUCAUAGACAAGAAAAAGAUAAAUACGGAUUCGUUGAGUGAUAGGGAUAACUGAAGAAAAUAAUGCAAUUGAAAAAUGAAAAUUCUAUGAUAUAAGAAGUUGGCAAAAAUUAGGAGGAUAAGACUAACUUGCAAGGGUAAGGAUAAUUUCUUAAUCUUUUUUUUUUCAGAUAAAAAAAAUUGGAACAAAAUUAAGAUUAGACUCACACAUGACAAAAUUUCUAUUUCUCGAUUUCUCUGUUUCUUUGUUCCCCGGAACAGGUUUGGAACAGAAAUCCGUUUGGUAACGCAAUUUGAUUUCUCUAUUUCUGAAAUAGAUCUCUAUUUCAGAAAUAGAGAAAUUGAAGAAAUCAGAAGCUGAAAUUUUUAACUUCUUAAUUUCUAAAAUAGAAAUCAGAAACUAAAAUCAAACCAUAUAAAAGAACCUUGCACUUUCUUGCUAACUUAAUUCACUCAUAACCACAACUUCACACAUUAUUGCUAAUUUUCUUUUUCUUAUUUUGCUCGUGUUUUUUUUUUUUUUUUGCAUUUUUUUUUAUAACUUCCUCUUUAUGAUGAAAGGCAAUCGAAUGGGUCCCUAAUUUUCAAAAACGAUCAAAGUUCUUAAAUGCUUACUUAAAAACGAUGGGGCUCUUUCCUCCUAGAAAAGGUACGGGUAUGGCCAAUUGAAGAAAAAGUUCUUACAUAAUAGAUGAAUAAAGAACGUGCCUAGAAAUUUAACCUUAUUUUUUUACGAAUUCAAAAUUCUUGCAAAAUCAAAAUAAUUAGAUUGUUACACAAUCUUGAAUUUUAAUUCGAAUGCAAAAGAUUCAAGAGAAACUCUCUCUUUGCUAUGCAAGGGCCAUUAAAGGUUCAUUGAGCAACAAUAAAGAAAUUAGGGAUGAGUAACUGGACUAAUUCAAUUCCAGAAUCAAAAUAAACCGACCUUCCCCCAAUUGAUUCCUAACCAUAAAUGUUACUUUAAGGUAGAAUUCUCUUAUAUUCCUUUACACCAUUAAUUUUAUUUUGUUGAUAAUCUUGUAUAAUACUAGUUUUUGAUAAAAUGACAAGGCUGUAUAGGCGUCAUUGAUGGCACCCAUAUUCAUGCUUCCGCAGUAUUUGUCUGAACCUACGUAGGAUGAGCUUGCAAACGAUACAUUGACCAAGGAGGGAAACCAAAUAAAUAUGCUUAGGAAAACAAUUUCUAAUAAAAUGGCAAUAGAUAAUAAUAUGCCGGAAAUUCUAUGAAAUUGUAUUUUCAACGUUUGUAAUGUAUUAGUAUUAUUUCGGCUAUUAUUUUGUAUUUGAGGAUUUCCUAUGUUAUUUUAGUAUUAUUUCGACUAUUAUUUUGUAUUUGAGGAUUUCCUAUGUUGUUAUCUAAUCAAUUUCUAUUCCUAGAAAUAGAAAUUUUGUUCUGUUAUCAAACGGAUUUCUGUUUUAGAAAUAGAAAUUUUGAGUCGUUAUCAAACAGGUUUCUUUGCUCAGAAACUUGUUCGGGAAAUAGAAAUUAAGAAAUUGAUUUCUGGCAACCUUAAAGUUGGAAAUUUUUUAGGAAAUUAGAUCAUUUAAUCCAGAGAAAAAUCAUAGACAAGAAAAAGAUAAAUAUGAAUUCGUUGAGUUGAUAGGGAUAACUGAAGAAAAUAAUGCAUGAUUUACUUUCUUUUGCUCUCUCGAGGCACCAUGGAGCUUCUUUUUCUUCUUCUUCUUUAACUGAAGAAAAUAAUGCAUGAUUUACUUUCUUUUGCUCUCUCGAGGCACCAUGGAGCUUCUUUUUCUUCUUCUUCUUUAACUGAAGAAAAUAAUGCAUGAUUCACUUUCUUUUGCUCUCUCGAGGCACCAUGGAGCUUCUUCUUCUUCUUCAAAUGAUAUUGAAAAUUCUACAAAAAUCCGAAAUAGGAGGAUGAGACCGAUUUGCAGGGAGGGUAGGGGGGAAUUAAAAGUAUUAUGCGAAACUUGGUGACCAAGGAGGUCUUAUCCUUAGUCAAAAAGGAGAUAAAGAAGGAAGAACGUGAAGGAGGGGUUGGAAAAUGACCGUGCGCUUGACGUGUCCGCGCCGUUGGUCACGAGGACUUGUUGUUGCUAGUCAAGAUUAAGGUGAUUGUCGUACAAAAAGCAAGGGGGGAUUCCAUGUCGGUGUUUCUUUUUCUUGGAAAAUUGGUGUUUGAUCUCAUCCUUUUGGUAUUCACACUCUUUUCGUCAAGCUCCUAGACAGGAACAAGGACAAAAGGCAACAUGAAAUUGGAGACCAAACUAAAUUUUGAAGAAGUGAGGAGGAGAUCGAUAACUCAUAGAAUUUGCAAUUAAGGUUUCCCUUUUAUCUAUUUUGUGAAAAGCAAAUAAUUCAAAAAAAAUUAUGAGAACAAGAAAUAUUUUCAUCGCCCACAAAUAAAAUUAGAUAUGAAUAAUUAUCGAUAAUUAAAACAUAUUUUAUUAGCUGAUUAUUUGGAGUGCUCAAUUUUAGGAACGUGUUUUUUGAAUCAUUCAUUUUUCACAAAUAAAAGAAUCUUAUAGACAUCUAAAGACAAAUCAUAUUCAUCUCAUCCUAGCAUAACUUGUAAGCACUUUGGGUGUAUUUGUUUUUGGAAAAAUUUCGUGAUAAAUGAAAAUGUUUUUCAAAAAAUCAUUGUUUACGAAAUUUUUUUACCUUUUCAGAUUAGAGAAUUUAUUUCCUAACUUUGAGCACAUGUUUUAUUAUUAUUAUUAUUAUUAUUAUUAUUAUUAUUAUUAUUAUUAUUAUUAUUAUUAUUAUUAUUAUUAUUAUUAUUAUUAUUAUUAUUAUUGUAAAUGGUUUUCGAUCAACUAAUCAUUUUUAACAAAUUAAAUGCGUGAAAGUUUAAAAAAUUAAUUUGUAAGAAAAUUUAAACAUAUACUCAUUGAUGUCCUUUCCUGAUGGAGCUCUGCACAACUAGCUGCGUUGCCUAUUUCUCCAAUUCAGUGGCGACCAAUCAUUGGGGUUUGCCCAGUGGCUACCCUUUUAACAUGGAAUGAGGAGACGGGGGGUUCAAAUCCCUAUCUUCUCAGGAGUUGGGGUGGGGACGAUUUAGUUUUAGGAGUGGGUUUCGACUCCCAUACUUUGCAAUGAGGCAGAGUAAAAGUCUGAGAGUGAGAGUUAGAAUAGAGAUAGAGUUGGAUUGACAAAAAAAAUGAAAUUUAGUGUCGACCCAUUAAUAUUUUAAUAUGCAUUAGCACGAGAUUUUCACCAAUUAAUAUACAACUCCCUGAAAAGAAAUAUUACUUUCUACAAAAGACAUAUUGGCCCUAAUCCCAAACAUCAAUUCAUUAUGGGGGCAUUCGUAUGGUGUUGAAGAACGAAUCUCCGGAUCGCAAUUUAUCGUAAAUAUUUAUUAUUCUUUCAUAAUUUUUACACAAGAUAUUGAAACACGCCAAAAAUUUAAAAGGGUUAAGGAUCGAUGGUGAAAAUCACUCCUCUCUAUCCUAUGGCCAUCAUUGGAUUUGCUUCCCAAGAAUCUUUUGAAACCUCUUUCAUUAUAAACCGAAAUCCGUAUGCCUAACUAGCAUUUGGAACAAAUUUCCAAUAAUAACUUUAGUCGCAAAAAAAAACAUUCUAACUAGAGAUGAGCAUAGUCCAAAUAGCCAAUUCCUACGUUGGAAUCAGAAACUAUCCACUAAAGACCGAUUUUGAAAAACUUGGAACAAGGAACCGCUCGUUGAUUCCAUAGAUCCACCCAAGAAUUGAUUCUCAAUCCCUACAAAGUUGCAUUUAUUAAUUUAUAUCAUGACAAACCUAGUUUCUAUUUAGAGCACCAAACCUUAUUCGGCCUUAAAUUCAGGUUGAAUUGUGAGCUAUUGAUUUUGAGUAGGGAUUGGGAAAUAUAGAGCAGAACCAAUAGACAAUACUCGUUAAGUAGGAACUCAAUGUCGUUAAAGGUCAUGAUGUGGUCUUCUUAGGGUUUUCUGACAUCAAGAACAUGUGGAGAAUUAGACUCUACGUUAGAAGUCCUAACCUCCAAAGAAAUUAAAAAAUUAAUCACUUGAUCCAUUUUUUUUUCAACAUCAACUAAUUUAAUCAAGGAAAUGGCUAAUGAGAGACCUAAUUAUUGAAUUUCAUAUUAUGACAAUAAAGCACCGCAACAUUUAUGGACAUCUCCAACCGAUUCUCUCCUUUCUCUUCAUUUGUCUAUUUUGUUUUGGCUAAGAAAGUAUGUAAAUAGAUUAUUAGAAUGAAAAAAAGAAGUAAGAGAUUAAUCCUAUUACACACUCAAAAGAUAAAAUUAGUCAAUAAUAUCCAACAAAUAUAUAUUGGUUAAAAAAAGUAGAAAAUAAUUAAGUAAUUGAGAUAUAAUUUCCUUUUUUUUUAAUAUAUAUACGUACUGGUCUAAUCCAAGUAGGCGAUUCCACGCAUGUAAUCGAGAACCAAAUCAAUACUCACUUGUUUUAUUAAAUUGGAACCAGGAGCCAGACUAGUUCCCACGGGAACUACCGGUUUUGUGCUAGUCUAGUCUAGUUUCAUGCAAUUCCCAAGUCUUUUGAUCCAUCUGUUUUCAACAUCAACUAAUUUAAUUAUACUCUUAAAAUGAGUCAUUGGCUCUUAAUUUUGUAUCAUGACAACGAAGUGCCACAAUAUUUAUGAACAUCUUGAAUAGGUCCUCUCCUUCUUCUUUGUUUGUUUGUUUUGUUUUUGCUAAGAAAGCAAGUAAAUAGAUUAUUAGAAUGAAAAAAAAUGGGGUACAUACUCGAGAGACUUGGUAAAAAAAACUACAAAAUAAUUAAAUAAUGAAAAUAAUUAUAAAAAAUUAAAUAUACUUGUCAAGUUCAAGUAGGAAUUGGAUUAGUACUCACUGAUUUCAUUAGGUUGAAACCAGGACCUGGACCAGUCCUCAUGGGAAUUGCUAGUUUUGUACUAGUCUGGCUUGUUUUUGUGCCGUUUAGAUGAUUUCCGAUUUCUUAACACACCUCUAAUUGUGACUUUUAUAAAGUAUAUUGUAAAUACCUCACACUUAUGGCUACUUUAAAAUUUCAGCAGCCUUUGAUGACUUUCUAGGAAGCCACCGCAGCCAACAUUGAAGUGCUACAAUUUAUAAAAUAUGCAUUUCAUAACCACAAAAAGCCACGUCAUCUUAUACAUUUUUACCAAACUGGCUCUACUAAUUUUGAAAGGGGAAGACCAAGAACAGAGAGUCAACGUCAAGUCUUCGGGCAUUAAUCAUCGCCGACAAUACCUAAUCCACGGCAGGUGGUCCUGGUAAAGCAGACUAGAAAAACUCACUUUUUGCACGGAUAUUGUGAAAAAGCAGAAUAUAACACGUGUUUUUCUUUUUUAUCUUUUGUAUAAUUUAUUUUCGAUUUGCUUUUAAUCCGACUUUUAUAUGGAUAUUGUUAUGAAAUACAUGAAUGGAUAGAAUGCAUGAAUGAAUAUUCAUUAUAUUCAUCUUAUCCAAUGUAUUUAUUAUGGUACAUUUGUAUCAAAUGUUCUAAGUACAUCUCCCUAUACAAUGAACGUUCGUCUCCCUUAUCAUGUACAUGUAUCAUUCGAUACAUUGAUAUUAAUGAUAAGUACAUUCUUGUUCUCCUAUAAAUAGGAGUUUAGUUUUGAUGUACAAUAUACAAUCACACAGAAACACGACAGUGAGAUACUAGAAAUAAAGCUCUCUCAUCUUGCUACUAUCUCUAGUGUUCACUUUCUUUCUCUUCUUUAAUCUCUUCUCUAUUAUAUAUUCGCCACGUGAUAUUUUACAACACGUUAUCAGCACGAGGAUCUACCGAUUGAGUAAGUAACUUUUGCAAGAACGAAGAUCUACCGAUUCAGUAAGUAAAUUUUGCAAGGUGCGUAUUAUUUUUAUUAAUCAACUUAUACUUCAUUUUCUUCUAUCAAUUCUUCAUUUUUAUUUUUCUUGGCCCGAAGCCAAAAUUCAAAUCUAAAAGUAUCCUUCUGCUCCUGAAGUAGCGGUGGAUAUUUGGAAAUCCUUUUAAUUAAUUUAAGGAUUUAUUUUUGCAAGGAUUAUGACAAAUAUUGAAAAGCCCAAAUUCCACAUCCUGGAAGUGAGUGGAAAGAAUUAUCUAUCCUGGUGCCUUGACAUGGAAAUGCACCUCCAAGGGCAAGGUCUCGCUAAUACAAUUACAGAGGAUGGAACCUCAAAUGAAAAGGAUAAAGCAAAUGCGCUGAUUUUUAUUCGCCGUCAUUUGCAUGAGAGCCUGCAGACUCAAUAUUUAUCCGUUCGAGACCCGCAUAUCUUGUGGAGGAGGUUGAAUGAUAGGUAUGAUCAUACAAAAACUGUUAUCCUCCCUCAAGCACAAUAUGAUUGGCAAAAUCUCAGAUUGCAAGAUUUUAAAUCAGUGUCUGACUAUAAUUCUGCUUUAUUUGAUAUCGUUUCUCGGCUAGAGUUAUGCGGUAUCAAACUCACUGAUGCAGAAUUGCUUGAGAAAACUUUUUCCACCUUUCAUGCUUCAAAUAUUGUAUUGCAACAGCAAUACCGGCAACGUCAAUUUGCCACAUUCUGAAUUAAUUUCUGUGCUUCUUACUGCCGAGCAAACUAAUGAAUUACUGCUCAAAAAUCAUGAUCUUAAACCUGCUGGCUCAAAAGCAUUGCCUGAAGCACAUGCUAACUUUGAGAAAAAUACUAGCCAUUUUAAGGGCUAUAAGCGCAGGCAAGAACAUAAUCCUAGAAGGGAUGGCAAGAAAUUUAACCGCCCUAGGAAAUCAAACUUUGGCCUGAAUCAUGGCAAAGAAAAGAAGCAAAAGAAGGUGAUUAAUGAAAGUAUUUGUCAUCGCUGUGGCAUGACCGGGCACUAGUCACGUACCUGUCGUAAGCCAAAACAUUUUGUUGACCUAUACCAGGCAUCUUUAAAGAAUACGGGCAAGCGUGGUGAAUCUCAUGCCAUUGAAAUCAAUCCUACUGCCAUAACCACUGUUGAGGCCAACAAUAUCUCCGUUGAUGGGACUCCUCUUGCUCCUAAAGUAGCAAAUGCAUCAUUGGAUGUCUCUGAUUUCUUUGAGGACCUCUGAUUACUUUGAUGAAUCAUAUUGGUGGAUAAUAAUUUGAACUUUGAAAUUUAUGUUGUUUCACUUUAAAUGUAUUACUUUUUUUUAUUGUUCUUUAUGAAAUACUUAUGAACCUUAUAUAAUAUUUAUCUUUGAAAUUUUAUUCAACUAUAUAACUAAAAUGCAACUUUUAUGAUACUUGACACCUGAAGUUGUCAAUAUAAAUGCAAAUGGAAAAUACCGAGAAAAAGGAAGAUGUUUGUUUGCUUGAUAGAGCAACAACACAUACUAUAUUUUGUAGUAGACACUUUUUCUCGAGUAUGACAUUACGUAAGGCACAAAUCCAUACAAUAUCAGGUUCUGUUCCGAUUAUUGAUGGUUUUGGGAAUGCUGCAAUUAUUUUGCCAAAUGGCACAAUCCUGCAUAUUGAGAAUGCGUUUCUAAGCAUUCGAUCAAAAAGGAAUUUGCUCAAUUUCAAAGAUGUACGCCGUAAUUGGUACCAUAUUGAGACUAUUUAUGAGCAAGAUAAGAAAUAUAUUGUCAUUUCCUCUUAUAAGAUGGGCCUGAAGACCAUCCAUGAGAAGCUAGAAGCUUCUUCUAUGGGUUUGUAUUGUGUCAUGAUUAAAGCUGUUGAAACCUACGCUACCAUAUCCUGGAGAUUGGUAAGCCCUGAUUAGUUUGGACUAUGGCAUGAUCACCUUGGUCAUCCUGGCGCUUCAAUGAUGCGUAGGAUAAUUUAAAAUACAAAAGGGCACCCUUUAAAGGAUAUAAAGGUAUUGUUGUCCAAAGAUUAUAAUUGUGAGGCUUACUCACAAGGAAAGCUCAUUAUCAAACCUUCUAUAACAAAGGUUAAUUUUGAAUCUCCUUUAUUAUUGCAAAGAAUUCAGGGUGAUAUUUGUGGACCAAUACAACCACCAAGUGGACCAUUUUGAUAUUUUAUGGUAUUAGUGGACGCAUCCUGUAGAUGGUCCCAUGUUUGCCUAUUAUCUACGCGCAAUGUCGCAUUUGCACGUUUACUUGCGCAGAUUAUAAAGCUCCGGGCACAAUUCAUUGAUUAUCCAAUUAAGAGCAUAAGGAUGGAUAAUGCUGGUGAAUUUACAUCAAAGAGUUUUGAUACAUAUUGUGCUUCACUCGGAAUCGAGGUUGAGCACCCGGUUGCAUAUGUUCAUACUCAAAAUGGAUUGGCAGAAUCCUUGAUUAAACGUAUCCAAAUCAUUGCCCGCACUCUAUUAUUGAGAACGAAUCUCAACGAUACUGCAUGGGGUCAUGCAAUUUUGCAUGCGGCAGCUCUAAUAAGAUUACGCCCCACUGCUAGUAUUUUACAAUCUCCCCUUCAAAUGGUUCUUGGUUAUGAACCAGAUAUUUCACAUCUACGCACCUUUGGUUGUGCAGUACAGGUGCCUGUAGCACCGCCAAAAAGGACGAAAAUGGGUCCCCAACGCCGUUUGGGCAUUUAUGUUGGGUUUAAUUCACCAUCUAUCAUUAGGUUCUUGGAACCAACUACUGGUGAUCUUUUUACUGCCAAGUUUGCAGAUUGUCAUUUCGAUGAGACUAGGUUUCCAUCAAUUGGGAUACCUACAACUUCCAUGACUGCAAAACAAAAACCAGUUAAGGUUUUUUCCUGGAAUGAGAAAAAUUUAUCUCAAUUAGACCCAAGGACUCCUGAAUGUGAAAACGAGAUGCAGCGCAUAAUCCAUUUAUAGGCUAUGGCCAAUAGACUUCCUGACGCAUUUAAUGAUGCUAUUAAGGUAACGAAGUCUCAUAUUCCAGCUGCAAAUGCUCCAGCUAGGAUAGCUGUUCCCGAAGAACAGGCUAAAAUGGAUCAAAAUCCCCUGCACUUGAAGCGUGGUAGACCGAUAGGAUCAAAAGAUACUGCUCCUCGAAAACGAAGGGGAAAGAAUCAGGAAUCCGCUCCAAAAGAGCUUGGCGUUGUGCUUGCUCCCAAAGAGCUUAUUGCCCCUGAAGAGGCACAAACCCAUGAAAGAAGCACUAGCCCCGGGAAUACUGAGAAUUCCAUUACAUAUUGUAAUGAAAUUUGGGAUCGAAAUGAAAUCAUCAUUGAUGAUGCUUUUGCAUUCUCAGUUGCUCAUCAAAUUAUGGAUGAUGAUUGUGAACCACAAUCUAUUAUUGAAUGUCGUCAAAGGCAAGAUUGGCAUAAGUGGGAGGAAGCAAUUAAAGCUGAAUUAGCUUCCCUAACUAAACGAGAGGUUUUUGGACCUGUAACUCGUAUCCCUGAUAAUGUAAAGCCCGUUGGAUAUAAAUGGGUAUUUAUCCGAAAACGAAAUGAGAAAAACGAGGUUGUCAGGUAUAAAGCCCAACUCGUUGCCCAAGGAUUCUCCCAGAGACCUGGGAUUGAUUAUAAUGAGACAUAUUCACCUGUGAUGGAUAUGAUUACAUUUCGUUUUCUCAUUAGCCUAGCAAUCUUUGAAAGAUUGGAAAUGCGUCUUAUGGACGUUGUGACGGCAUAUCUAUAUGGCUCAUUAGACUUUGAUAUUUAUAUGAAAAUUCCUAAGGGAUUCAAAAUGCCUGAAGCAUGCACUCCCCGCAAUUUAUUUUCAAUAAAAUUGCAAAGAUCCUUGUACGGGUUAAAGCAAUCCGGUCGCAUGUGGUAUCAACGCCUAAGUGAGUACCUAAUUAAGGAAAUGUACAAAAAUGAUCAUAUCUGCCCAUGCGUGUUUAUUAAGAAAUCAGAAACUGGGUUUGCUAUUAUAGCAGUUUAUGUCGAUGAUACAAAUUUAAUUGGAACUCUAGAAGAGUUAGCUGAAACUGCUGAAUAUUUGAAAAGGGAGUUUGAAGUUAAAGAUUUGGGUAAAACCAAACUUUGUCUUGGUCUAGAGCUUGAGCAUAAAGCAAAUGGAAUAAUCGUCCAUCAAUCAGCAUAUGUUGAAAGAUUGCUUAAACGUUUCAACAUGGACAAAGCUCACCCAUUGAGCACCCCUAUGGUUGUAAGGUCUCUAGAUCCCCAAAAGGACCCAUUUCGUCCUAAAGAAUCUGAUGAAGAGAUACUUGGUCCUGAAGUACCAUAUCUCAAUGCAAUUGGGGCUUUGAUGUACUUGGCACAAUGUACGAGACUAGAUAUCGCUUUUGCGGUAAAUUUAUUGGCACGUUUUAGUUCUGAGCCAACUCGGAGACAUUGGAAUGGAGUUAAACAUAUUUUCCGUUAUCUCCGAGGAACCAUAGAUUUGGGAUUAUAUUAUUCCAAGGAUUCCACUAACUCUGGUUUAGUUAGAUAUGCUGAUGCUAGAUAUAGAUCCGAUCCACAUAAGGCUCGCUCUCAAACCGGGUAUUUAUUUUGUUAUAACGUCACCGCUAUUUCUUGGCGUUCUACGAAGCAAUCGCUAGUAGCUACAUCUUCUAACCACUCUGAGAUUAUUGCUUUAUAUGAAGCUGGAAGAGAGUGUGUUUGGUUAAGAUCCGUUAUAACACAUAUUCAUAAUUCUUGUUGCUUAAUACCGGUUACAAAUUCUCCCACUAUAAUUUAUGAAGAUAAUGCUGCUUGUGUUGCACAAGUCAGGGGAGGAUAUAUCAAAGGUGAUAGGACCAAGCAUAUCUCGCCGAAAUUUUUCUAUACUCAUGAACUCCAAGAAAGUCGACAAAUUGAUGUUAAACAGAUUCGAUCCAUAAAUAAUCUUGCAGAUCUUUUUAACAAAUCAUUGCCAACAUCAAGUUUUGAGAAAUUAGUAUAUGGCAUUGGUAUGAGGCGAGUUCAUAAGAUGUAAGAUUGAUUAGCCCCAGAAAUGGCUAUAUGGCUCAAUUGAGGGGGAGAUAUUAUGAAUUAUACAUUGCAGCAUUGAUAUGUGCUAGUUCACAAGAUGCAAUAAUGAUUAGCCCCAGGAGUGGCUAUAUAUGCAUUGCACUCUUUUUUCUUUAUGUCCGGUUUUUUCCCAUAGGGUUUUUCCAGCUUAAAGUUUUUAACGAGACAAUUAAUGCAUCCAUAAAAGGGAGAGAUCAUAACAUUUGUGCUCUGCACUCUUUUUCCCUUUUUGUCCGAUUUUUAUCCCACUGGGUUUUUCCGGCUUAAGGUUUUUAAUGAGGCAGUAUCAUUCAAUGCACAUUCGUAAUGAAUAUGAUGAAUAUUCAAGGGGGACUGUUAUGAAAUACAUGAAUUGAUAGAAUACAUGAAUGAAUAUUCAUUAUAUUCAUCUUAUUCAAUGUACUUAUUAUGGUACAUUUGUAUCAAAUGUUCUAAGUACAUCUCCCUAUACAAUGAACGUUCGUCUCCCUUAUCUUGUACAUGUAUCAUUCGAUACAUUGAUAUUAAUGAUAAGUACAUUCUUGUUCUCCUAUAAAUAGGAGUUUAGUUUUGAUGUACAAUAUACAAUCACAUAGAAACACGACAGUGAGAUACUAGAAAUAAAGCUCUCUCAUCUUGCUACUAUCUCUAGUGUUCACUUGCUUUCUCUUUUUUAAUCUCUUCUCUAUUAUAUAUUUGCCACGCGAUAUUUUACAACAGAUAUUUCCUUUUUACUUUCUCUUGUUCGUUAAAUUUUUGCAUCGAGUACAUAAAUACUGAUGUAUACCUGUAUUUUUCAAUCUUUUUUUCAUUUCAAAUUCUUCUCAUUUACCUUGCUUGAAAUUUUUUUUGCAACUUUACAGUGACUUUCUAAAUUUAUAUAUGUUAAUAUUUUUAUUUAGACUCUUUUAUAUUGUUGCAUCGAUUUCACUGGGAAAUUAUUUUGGUUAUGUCCUUACUUUUGUUAUCAAUGUAAGUAUAGUGUUAAUAAGGCUAUGAAAUUUUAGCAAAAUAAAAAGGUAAAGUGAAAGUUUAUAGAACCAUGGAGUUAUGAUUUUAAAAGGAGAAACAAUAAAUGCAAUUGGAUUUGUUUUGAAUAUUGAUUAUAGUAAAAAAUUUUGUGCUUCAAGUGGUAUUGAAUAAGAUUUGCCACACUCAACUUGAACUAUGGCCAAGUGAGAAACUUGAACCAGAUAAAGAAGCUUAGUAUCCCCAAAACUUUUUUUUUUUUUUAUCAGAGCAAUACAAGUAUUUUUUUCAAGGAGAAAUAUUAUACAAAUCAUUUAUUUUUUACGAAAUAAACAUAGUUUAAUUAGACUUAAAAAAUCAUAAUCAUCUUAUCCUAGGAUAAUUUCUUCUCUAUUAUAACACUAUGACCUUAAAAAUAAAAAUACAACUAUAAUAGUUCAAUAUCAAUGGACAUCCAUCCACAUCAUGCUCUCCAAAAGAGUGAUAUGAAUACUAAAUAAUAACGAUUUGAAUACUAAAUAAUAGAUAUUUUGAUAACUUGAAAAGGUUGAUAUGAAUGUCAUCCUAUUCCGUAAUAUAUCUUAUUAGUUCUACAAUUAUUCUACUUUUGCACGUUAAAUUGUAUUUUGGAUUCUUAUUAAAAAUUAUUCAAAUUGCACUUUUCCUUCCGUGUUAAUUUUUAUUUUUUCAUUUUUUUACAUAUUAGUUGGUGGCCUUUUUGUUAAUAGACAAAAGCCCAUCAAUAUCCUUUCCUGAUGUAACUCUGCCCAACUAGCUUGCUGCGUUGCCAAUUUUCCAAUUGAAGCGAUCCUUUGAUAUUUUAAUAUGCAUUAGCUUGAUAUUUUCACCAAUUAAUAUACAAAUCCUGAAAAAUAAAAUUUUAAUAGACAAAAAGCCCAUCAAUAUCCUUUCCUGAUGUAACUCUGCCCAACUAGCUUGCUGCGUUGCCAAUUUUCCAAUUGAAGCGAUCCUUUGAUAUUUUAAUAUGCAUUAGCUUGAUAUUUUCACCAAUUAAUAUAAAAAUCCUGAAAAUAAAAUUUUAUUUUCUAGAAAAAGACAAGUUGGACCUAAAUCAAUAAAGAAAAAGAUAUUAUUAUAAAUGUCAAUUCAUUUUUGGGCACUUGUAUGGUUUCGAAGGAUGAAACUCCAGAUUGCAAUUUAUUGAAAUUAUUUUUUCCAUUAUUUUUAUUUAAAAUAUUGUAACACAAAAAAAAUUAAAAUGGUUUGUGAUUAAUGGCGAGAUUUACUCUCUUUUCUCUCCAACCCCAUGAAAAAUUAGGGAUAUGCUUUCGAAGAAUCUUUAGAAACCCCUUGUUACAAUCCAAAAUGCAUAUGCCUAUUAUCCUUUUGAACAGUUUUGCUAUAGUAAUUUCAGCUGUUGAAAGGAGCAUUGCGACUUUUGUAAAUUUUUUGGUCAACACCUCACAGCUACAGCUAUGACUACUUUAAAAUUUCAGCAGCUUAUAAUAACUUUAUAGAAAUUAGGAAGCUACUACAAUUUAUAAAAUAUGCAUUUCAUAAACAAAAAAGCCACCUCAUUUUAUAACACACCAUAACUACGUUUGUACCUAUCUGGCUCUACUAAUUUUGAAAGAGAAAGCGCAAAAACAGAGAGUCAACAUCUAGUCUUCGGGUAUUAAUUAUUCCUGACUGGGCCUGGACCACGGAUUGCAAAAUGAAGCUGGCUCAUCGCAGUUUUGCGCGUCGGAUAAACAAGCUAGCAGAUUGGGUGGUAAAAGCCCCACGUCCAGAAUUGGCUAUUUCAUCCCCGGAACUUAUGUUGGAUAAUUAUAUCGGGUAAAAGUCACCUAUAACACAUUUAUUCUGAGCUUUUCUUUGUAACAAAAAAGGCUCCAAACUAAACUAAUGUGACGCAUUUACUCCAAACUUAUACAGUGUGACAUCUUUAUUUCAAAUUUAUUUUUUGUGACAGCAAAAAUCUCAAGCCUUUACUUGUGUGACGAAUUUAUCCAAAAAAUUUGGUGUCUCAGAAAAAAGUUCGGGAUUUUUGGCUUCAAAAAAAAAGUUUGGAGUAAAUAUGAUGCAUGAGUAAAAGUUUGGGAUUUUUUGUAUCACAGAAAAAAAAAUUGAGGUAAAUGUGUCACAGUGGGCAAAGUUUUGAGUUUUUGGCGUCAUAAAAAAUAAUUUAGAUUAAAUGUGUCAUUAUAAGCAAAGUUUGGGAUUUUUUGUAGUUUUUUCCCUUAUAUUUUCACAAACCUAGCUUAAGUUGAUAAAAUUUCUGUUUUUUAGACAAAAAUAUUUUUUGUUGCAGACUAGGAAAACCAACUCUUUGCUCAGGCAUUGAGAAAAAAACAGAAUAAAAUUAUUGUCCUUUUCUUGCAUCGUGCUUUUAUUAUUGUUCUCUUGUUCCUUAAAUUUAAGAGAAGAUAGCAUAAAUGAUCCACAAAUUUUUGUCUCGAUCUGCAAUGUUGUCCUUAAACUUUUAAUUUAUUCAAUAUAAUUCUCGAAUUGUUGGUAAGUAUUCAAUGCCGUCUUUAGGCUUGCUCAAAAGGCAAACCAAAUGUUAUUUUGAUGACGUAGAUUACUAUAUGUUGAGUUGAAUUUUUAGAAAUGAUGAUUCAAUCUAUCUAUCAUUUUACCCAUCUACUUUAAACAAGGAAAAAAUUUAAGCAUUAACACGUCCAUUGUUAUUUGAUGAUAUGGAUUAUUUUAUCCGAAUUAAGAUGAAUAUCUUAUGUGGAUAAUUCAUAAAUAACUUUUUUUUUUGCCCACCAUUCAAACCUAAAAGAUUGGAAGCUACAUCACUAUUCUAGGAAUUAGAUUGAAUACAUGUAGAUAGUUCAAGGAUCAUAUUGUAUAUUGAAACAAAAUUCAUAAACUAUUUAUGUCAUUUUUCUUUGAAUUUUUUAAUCAAGUGCAUAAAUAUUGCAAUGCACCUAUGUUUUUCAAUUUUUUUUUUCAUUUAAAUGAGUUUUAUUUGGAGAGAGUCCCGACAGGGCUCUCUGCUUCAUUUAUAAACACAGACAGGAUAUAAUAAAGUCAGCGGGGCACUUCCAAAAAGCUUCCAUUAGACCUUGAUUUUACUCAAAUUAUCUAAUAAAUGUUUUUGGAGGUAGAACUCACUGAUUUGUCAAACCCAUUAUGACUAAUCCCCGCCAUAUCUCAUUAAACAACAGUUUAGAUUAAAUAAAAUACAAGCUAGAAAUGAAAUAGUAUUUCUUUAUACUUCGGUUAAAAUAUUUUUACAACUUUGCCAUGAAUUUCCAAAUUUAGAUGGAUUGAUUUUUUCUAUUUAAAUUUUUUUAUAUCAUUGUAUUGACCCCAUUGACAAAAUGUUCUGGCUCUGUAUUUGCUUAAAAUCAAUAUAGAUAUACUGUUGAUAGGGUCAUAAGAUUUUAUCACAAUUAAAAGGUACAAGCUUACGCAAUCAUGACUGAGUAUUAAAAUUGUGAUGGAAUCAUGUUUUUAAAUGGAGAAACGAUAAAUGUAAAUUACAUAUUGUAUGUUGAUUUUAGCAAGAAAUUUUGUGCUUCAAGUAAUAUAAAAUAAAAUUUGCACUCUACUUGAACUAGGUACAUGGCCAAGUAAAAAACUUGAGCCAGAGAGAGAAGUUCAGUAUCUCCAUAGCUUCAUUUUCUUGAUCGAAAGUUUUGUGAACUAUGAUUCAGCUACAAUAAAUCACAUGUGACCCCAAACAUUUCUUGACAUUCAAAACUCGAUUAAAUCUAUUAGAGUUAGGUCUCUUCUCGUAUCACAAUUAAUACCGACAUCCUUUCAUCCUUGCUAGAAAAAGAGUUCAACCAAAAAAGGAAGUGUGGAAAUGUGGAAAUUGAAAGCUUAUGGCGUUGUUGAAUUUAUUGAGUUCCUUGCUAGAGAAGGAAAGAACAUUCCACGUGGAAUGAAUCGAUUCUAUCCUCAAAUUCAACCUUUUCAACGAAGUGGAAGAUAAACGAACAUCAAUUCUCGUGUUCUUGACAUUAAAUUUUAGUUUGAUAUAUGGGGAAAACAGUCAAAUUAAUCCAUCUUCUUUGCCCAAGAACUAGACAUAUUGCCAACAGAUGCUCUUUCAUAAACGUGAGCUGCAAUUGGGCCUACAAAAGUUAACAGUUCUUGCAAACCAGGCUGCUUUAUAAUCACCAAGGAUCAGCAAGGAAUGAACUUCUUUUGCAGCGCCUUCUCCGUCUUGUCUUUUUACGAUCGUUCUUCCUUAAGACGACUAGCGACACUUUUCAUUGUCACAAAUUAUAUCAACCGAUCCGGAUCUAGAGUUACCAUCUAAUGAUAUAACAGAGGACCCGUUACCAUAACGCUGAACUGCACAAGAACUAACCACUAGGACCUUAGGACUGAUCAAAGACUAUUCGAUUGCAUCGAUUAAACAUGUCCUAUUAAGUCCGGUGUACAUGCAACAUCUUGAAGCUGCAUCUUCUAAAGGAGAGACGGAUGUGCAUGUACGACAACUGCCGAUCAAAGACUAUUCGAUCCCACUGCUCUAUUUAGCGCGCGGCUUGUCGACAAUAAACAUUUUAUUAAUAUGGCAAACUGUCGAAGUCAUAACGCACAUCACAUUACUCACAUACAAACCCCUCGUAGAUCAAGCUCGGAAACAUUCACUCAGAAAAAAAAAGAGGAGAACGGCUUCAAACGAGUCAUAGAUAACGAGACUACUAUAAAGCAACUUUCAGGCUCUACGACAGACAUCACCAUCACAGACCCAUCCUUCUUUGGCAUCUCCUUCUUUCUUUGCCUCCUCCUCAGCUGCUUCAUUGUCUUCAUCUAACUCGUUUUCAGUUGCUUUCUCUUCUUUAACAGCACAUUUUGGGUGGAGAUCAAAGUCACACUCCUCGCAAUAAUAUGACCACCCCUCCCCCUCUUCAUCGCAGCCAUCACAAGUGUACCGUCUCCUCUGAGCCGGAACGAGCUCGUGCUCUUCAUGCAAAGGUUGCUUCAACUUCUCUGGCCAGCCUUUUAUACUUUCCUUGAACUUUUCCUCAAACUUCUUGAGAUGUUCGGCAGUAAAAGGAUAAGCAUCAGCCCCGUGGUCCAUUAUAAGAUCCCUUGCUUUGUUAGUCACCGUCCGGCCCGUUGGACCUAUGGCUACAAGCAUGGGGAUGCCCCGGACCUUGAAUUUGCGACUCAGGGAUUUCUUCCUCUCGUCACCAAAAGGGAGCGCCAGCCACGGCAUCUGAGCAAAAUAAUUAUCAAAGGCAGUUUGGUCCUUGUCACUGGAGAUGAAGAUAACCUCCAAGGCAUUGCCGGCGGCCUUGAUCUUUUCGUAUGCCUCAGUAAGCACCGGCAGGAAUGCACGGCAAGGAGGGCACCAGUGUGCCGAGAAGUACAGGAGGACAGUCUUCCCUACCAAGUCUGGUACUGGAAUCUGCAAUCGAAGUUAAGGAACAACCUUUUAGAUGAACCACCAAUUGAUGGAGAAGGCACGUGAAAACUACAUCUAUGUAAAGGAUUUUCCUAGCUAUAAACCUGGUUUCAAUCCUUUCCUCGAGUCAAGUAACCCGAGGGACAACUGUAUAUGGGGCCCCAGUGUAGACAUCAAAAAUUUCCCCAGUCAUUAGCUUCUAGGGAAAAAACAAAUUUACCUUGGUUCCAUCCUUUCCAAUGACAAAAUCCAGAUCCCCUGAAACCAAGAUCGACUCCAAGGUCUGAGAUUCUUCCCUUUUCUUCUCUAUCUCUGCAAGCUCUGCAAACUUUUCUGGAGUGAAGGGAUAAGCUGUGAUGCCAUGCUCUUCGACAGUUUCGGCAACGUUGGCAUGGACAGUCUUCCCAUCCUGACCGAUAAUGACCAGAGUGGGUAGGGUCGACAGCUUAAAGUACCUCACCAACUUCUCGCAUUUCUUGUCUUUGAAUGGUAAUGAAAGCCAUGGCAUGCUGCCAAAGGAUUGGUUGAAUGAUGCUUCAUCAUCAUCGAGAGGUAUCUGAACGAUCUCAAAACUCUCUCCUCUGGCCUUCAAUUUCUCAUAAACCUCCAGUAACUUAGGCGUGAAAUCGACGCAUGCCCUGUGCACGGACAACGAGAAGUACAGACCCACUGUUUUCNNNNNNNNNNNNNNNNNNNNNNNNNNNNNNNNNNNNNNNNNNNNNNNNNNNNNNNNNNNNNNNNNNNNNNNNNNNNNNNNNNNNNNNNNNNNNNNNNNNNAAUCAUAGCACAUGCGACCAUGAGUUUCAAAUGCAUCGAGAUCUUUUUAGGUUUACCUGAUUCCGAUUGACGAAACUACGAAGUUACGAGAUCCAUGGACCAAAAGAGAGGUCACUGAUUGAUUUAUCCUAGUAGCUUCUUCCUGGUCUUUCAACUCUUUGAUACGUUCUGGAGUGAAAGGGUGACCUUCCACUCCAUACUCACGGACAAUCGCAACUCCGCUAUCUGUUAAGACCGUACCUGUGCCAUCGAGAAUGACAAGGUGGGGUAUCCCCCUCACCUUAAACAAUUCAUCCAAGCUAUUGCGCUUGUCCAAGUCGGAAAACGGGAUUGCAAGCCACGGCAUCUUGGAAAAGUAUCCACUGAAGGACCCUUCAUCCUUAUCUGCAGAGAUAAAAAUGAUCUCCAGAUCACCUUUUGGGGAAAGUUCAUCGUACACCUCCGCCAGAAUCGGGGUGAACCGGUGGCACGGACCGCACCACGAUGCGGAGAAGUACAAGCCAAUCUUCUUCCCCUUCAAGCUAUCGACCUUAACCUGAUAUAGAACAAAAAGAUUCCUAAUUUUAGUUCUUUCAUACGGUAAUCAGCGAGCAAGGCACACUAGAUCACUUGACCACCACACAAAAAUCCUGAAAAUGCUCAAGAUACACAUCCAAAUGCCAACUGCAGAAGCACUUCCCUUAUGCACUGCUCAUUAAAUAGUUAGCAAAUCAGCAGUCUUCGCCACCAAAACAAGUAUACCACACCGAAGGUGUGAGCAUUUACACUAAAGAGCAUUACUUCAUAGCAAUAUCGGAUCCAUAUACACUGCUCCCACCCGAUCCAACUCCAAGUAACAUGUCUUUCUCUAAAAAGUAAUGCAUCAACUACCGAUCAUCCAGUUUCUGAAGGAAACAAAUGGACAGCACUCGAAAAUGAUGAUCCUAGAUCAGACCAACUUUAGCUUCUCUUGAACUAAAUUUAAAAACCGAUCAGCGAAACAACCCCACACGAAGACGAAGGCCACGAGAACUUCGACAAGGACGCCCACCCAUAAUUCUUUUUCUUUCACCUCAUCCAGCGAAAGAGCAAGAGUGAAAGAAGAGAACUGAGUUUCACCUGAUCGCCGUUGUUCCGGAUGAGGAAGUCCCUGUCCGGAGAAGACAGGAGGGACUGAACAUCGUGAGAAGAAGCCCCGCCUUCGACAACGUCCGCCAUCCUGGUCGCGUUCGUUCCUUGUGUCCUGUUCUCGUGUCUCUGCAGAGAGUCUGCCUGAGAACCNNNNNNNNNNNNNNNNNNNNNNNNNNNNNNNNNNNNNNNNNNNNNNNNNNNNNNNNNNNNNNNNNNNNNNNNNNNNNNNNNNNNNNNNNNNNNNNNNNNNGCAAAGAACCAAACGGAAAGAACAUCGGCAUCUAAACUUAAAAGGCGCACGAACUCAUCUUCCAAUCCGGCAAGAUAAGCCCCAACCAAGAAUCAGAUCAGCAAAUGCUCUCGACCCCCACCCUCCCCCAGUUUGAAAUUCAAGAACCGAUCACCACAAGGCCAAGAAUUUCUCGCACGAAACUGGGUAGUCAGCGAAACAACGAGAACUUCCACAAGGACGCCAACCAACCCACAAAAUUCUUUUCUUUCUCCCCUCUUCCAAAGGGAAAGAGCGGGGAGUGAAAGAAGAGAACCGGGAUGGACAGGGUGAUCGCCGUUGUUCGAGAAAAAAAGGGGUCCCUGUCCGGAGAAGACAAGAGGGACUGCACAUCGUGAGAAGAAGCCCCGCCUUCGACAACUUCCGCCAUUCUCGUCGCCUUCGCUGCAGCGUUCUGGUGUCCUUGCAGAGCGUGCUUGAGAAAUCCUCCUAUGGCGGGCUUCUGCACCUUGCUCCUGUUUAUAUAGACAGAAAAAACUCAGGCAGGCAGGUCUUUUUUUUUAUAAUUAAAUUAUCACCGAAAUUAACUCUUUAAUUUUUCCUUCUUUUUUUUUUUUUUUGGGGGUUCUGGAUUGUUCCUUGGACUUUCGUGGGGCGCAAGGAUGGCAUCUCGGGAGAUGGGCUCCAACGUUGGUACGCGUCCACGUCAGCAUAUUAAUUGUCUUCUUUUUCCUUACUUCGAUUUUUUUUAUCUUAUUUAGCCCUUUUGCCAUUUUAUGCUUCCUCCUCCCCCAAGAAAUCUCCGCUGUAGAAGUCCGCAAAGAAUCAUUUAUUUUUACCCUCUCGAUAUUAUAAAAUGUUAAAUCUUAAUUUUUUUGUAUUUCAUUCAAUACUUUAGAUUUUGUCUUUUCAUUGGCACGUGGGGGCGGUGGGUGAAUAUAUCUCUAAGGGUGCGCAUGGUUUCAUUUCUGUUCCUUUUCUGUUCCCAGGAACAGAAACAAAAAAAAGUGUUUCUGUUCCGGGGAACAGUUUCUGAACAAAAAAACGCGUUUGGUAAGUGUAAAAAAAAACUGUUCUUGGAAUAAAAAAAGAACAGAAAUAUGUUUGGUAACUGCAGUCAAUUUCUGUUCUUAGAAUAGAAAAAGAACAGAAACACGUUUGGUAAACGACAAAACAAUUUCUGUUUUUUUUUUUGAUAAAGUUUAAAAUUGAUAUUAAAUUGUCAUUCUUAUGAAAUGCUCAUUAAUUUUAUUUUGUUCAUGGUUAGUGAAGACAAACAUUUUUAGCAUGAUCAUAUGGCAUAUUUCGUAUAAAAUUUUGUAAUUAAAGUUUGUAUCUAGUAAAUUCAAGUACAACCACGCUGCACCCCGACUUUAGCUAACCCCCUUGGUGGUGAAAUCGUCCUUCAACGCCCUCGCCACGUGCUUCACCAGCCUGUCCAUUCCACAUCACCAUGAGCAACAAAAUAACAAUAGAAGGAAACCACAUCACCAGCCUAUUCAUUCAAAAUCACCAGCCCCUGUCCACCUCGCUAGAGCUGCAGCAGCAGCUGCUGCACGAGCAGCUCGAGCGAGCUGCUGCAGCAGCUGCUGCUCGAGCAGCAGCAGCAGCUCGCUCGAGCAGCUCUAGCUGCUGCUCGAGCAGCUGAGCUGCAGCUCGAGCUGCUGCAGCUGCUGGAGUUGAGCUGCAGCUCGCUCGAGCUACUGCUCCAGCAGCUGCAACUCGAGCUCGCAGCAGCUCGAGCUGCUGCAGCAGCUACUGCUCGAGCAGCUCGAGCUGCUGCAGCUGCUGGAGUCGAGCUGCAGCUCGCUCGAGCUACUGCUCCAGCAGCUGCAACUCGAGCUCGCAGCAGCUCGAGCUCGAGCUCGCAGCUGCUCGAGCUCGAGCUCGCAGCAGCUCGAGGCAGCAACUCAAGCGAGCGAAGGGGGAGGCAAUGACGAGCUGCAGCUCGAGCGAGCGUUGCUCCCCUUCGGCGCGGCAGAUCUGGGCGAGCAACGCUCGCUCAAGCCUUGAGCGAGCAAUGCUCGCCCAGAUCUGCGGCAGAUCUGGCCGAGCAACGCUCGCUCGAGGGACGGCUCGCCGCGCCGAAGGGGGAGCAGUGCCGACCGGAGAAGGAGCGCCGAAGGGGGAGCGACGCUGACCGGAGGAGGAGGGCCGAACGGAGAGCAACGCUGACCGGAAACGUACCUGGAGUCGCCGGAGAGUUAGCCGAGUGGGAGCCGCCGGAGAGAUGGAAGACACGCCGGAAACGGAAGAACGAAGCUUCAGCCGAGAGGAGCGACGACGAGCACGCACGAAGAGUUCUUCGCUUUGUUCCGAAUUUGUUCUUUUGUUUCUUUCGUUUUUGUUCUUUUGUUCUGUCGAAGAAGUGUUUCUUUUCAAAAGAAACAACUUUUUUUUGUUUCUUUUUUCUGUUCCUAUUUCGUUCCAGAAACAAAAAAACAAAAAAGGAACAAAAACGCAACCAAACGCGUUUCUGUUCCUUUUUUGUUCCCGGGCACACUUUCCGUACAAAAGUGUGCCGGAAACGUUUCUUAGAAACGUUUCCAUGCACGCCCUAAAUGGUCGGUUCAUCCUUCCUGCAACGGUUGAAUUAUAUGAUUAUUAAAACCAAAAAGUGCGCCUUCUUAGCCCUCGUCCAAAUAAAUGGUAAUCAGAAAUUGAAAAAUUUAUAUAAUUGGGAGGAUGAGGCUGAUUUGCAGGGAUGGAAAGAGGGGAAGUUGAAAAGUAUCAUGCGAAGUAUUAUUCUUAGUGGCUAAGAUUGUGCCAUCCGUUAGUCAAUUACCUAGACACGUUGGCAAAGCUAUGUCUUUAUCUUCUCAUUUUGUUCAUUAUUGACCCGUUGACCAUUCCUUGCUUCCUUCCCAAGUAGUCUAUCCCCAAAAAUUAAACUUUGACAAAAUUUUAUUUUUUUAACCCUCUCAAUUUUCAUAUAAGUUUGGUUUAAAAUUUUUUAAGAGCUAAAUUGCAUUUUUGCCUUUUCUCCGCCCAUGGGACGACAUUAAAUGAGAAAUUAAAGGUGUGAUUGCUCAGGUCAUUUUUUUUUAUUAUAAGUUUGUUUUAAAAUUUUUGAGAAUCUCAAUUUUACCCCUUAGUUUUUGGUUGGUCCCACCCCCCCCCCACCCCCCCAAAAAAAAAGGUUGACGCGCCUUCUUAUCCCUAGUCCAAAAAUAAUGAGACAGGGUAUGAAAAGUGGGUAAAAAUGUCGCGAUUAAUUUGUUCGAGAGAAAAAUUAGAGAUAAGAGAAAGAUGAUUACAGAUUCGUUGAUUUGAUAUGGAUAGUUAAAGAAAAGAAUUAUUCCAAAUGAUUAAAAAAAUGGAAAUUUUAUUGAAUCAAAAGUUUGCAAUAAUUAGGAGGAUAAGACUGAUUUGCUUAGGACACGAAUGAUAACCAUUCUAAUAUGAAAUUGAUUUUUGUAACAGAAAUAAAUUUUUAUAUUUUUAUUUUUGGACGAGUUUCUGAGUGACAUCGACCAACCCAAUUUUUUUUUUUUUGAGACCAACCCAGAGUUGACCACCCCUCUUGUGGCACCUUGGAGCUCCGUUAAGCUAUUUACCAUUUUCUUCUUCUGCUUCUUUAUUUUUUUUUUAAUUUUCGAAACUUUACUAAUUUGCAAUUAUUUGGCAUAUAAUAUCAAUAAAGACUACGAUUAACAAUAAUAGUGAGCAACCAAACGGGUCCUUCCAAAGUGAAAAUUACAAAUUUUCAAUUCUUAUUAAGAUUUCAUGUUUAAUUUACCCUCUUAAAUUUCCAUAACCGGAAGUAUCAAUUGCCUUGUAGCUUUAUGAAGGGAAAAUUAUCAAAUCAAUCAUGAGCAUAUUAUACAAAUAUCAAUUCAAUCAUUAAUUUUUUUAAUUUUCUCAAUUUUAUUUUAAACCUUUCCAAGAAAAUCGGCCACAAUAACUGAAUUGGCAACAUUGAAAUUUAGGAUCAAAUUGACAUUCGCAUAACGGGUUUAGGACUGGUUGGACAAGUAGAAGCGGAAUGUUAUUUAUUUAUUUUUUAAUAUUUAUUUUGGUGGUGUGUCGUUCAAAAGCUAAAGGCCAAAUAGGGCGUCGGGUUAGUCGAAAGGAGCCAAAAAAUAAAAAUAAGAAACAUAAAAGAAAUGAUAGUGACGGACCCCAGACUUUUGGGACCCACGCCGACGAAAGAGGGAACGGGGAGACUUCCAACCGGAAAGAGCAUUAAAUAAUAUAGGUAAGGCAGGUUCCAUCCUUCACCCGUGAUGAAAGAGAUGCCCAGUGGAUGACCAAAACCUUGAUGAAAGAAAUACCUCUGAAACCACAUUCUUAUCACCCGUGUCUAAAAUUCCUAAUUAAAUAGACAUAAAGAUAAGUAAAUGGUAAUUAUCUCGUGUCCCAACAUAAUAUGCCAUGCGAUAAUCGCAAUUUUCUCCACCAUUAUAGUAGCACGAUCUUGAAAAAAAAAUCAUAAUGGUUCGAUCUCAGUGUAUCCCAUCAUCCAUCAUACCCUUGAGAAGAGAACUGGAUCUUUAUAAGCUUCUUAAACAUCUCUUUUUUUUCUUUUUCUUUUUUUGGAUCGAAUGACUUUCCCUUAAGUCUCAAACUCUUCCUCUUUUAUAAAGGAAAAUAAUUUCAACUAAAAGUCCAUUUGUUUUGUAAAAAAUAUUUUCCAUGAAAACGUAUUUCUUAUUUUCUGGCAUUUGGUUCAUUUAGAAAAAUAAAUCAAUAGAAAAUAUUUUCCUAAUCAAUGGAAAAUAUUUUCCCAUCAAAACUUAAACUCAGGGAAAAAAUUUUCCUAUCAAAACUUAAAAUUAGGAAAAUGAUUUCCCUUUUGAAAGAAUCAGAAAAAAAUUUCCAAAAUGUUUUACUACUCUAAUGAAACAUUUAUUCUUAUUAAAAUAAUCUAAAAAAAUGUUGAAUUUUUAAUUUUUUUUAAUUAUGUUAUUAUUAUUUUUCUUUUUCUUUUCUUCUUUACUCUUUUCUUUCUUUGCCUUUCUCCUUCUUCCUCCAUUGGUCGCGUACCUUAGUGACAACUAGCAGCCAUCGACCAUGACGCGGGUCAACAAGCUUGAAUUGGUGGAGGCUGGCAGGCUCCUGGCGAGCUCCUGGCUUGCUUGAUCCCAGCAAGCUUAAGCUCACCUGUGGCCGUUGCUGAGACUCGACGAUUGGUAGAGGGAGAUGGUAAUAGAAAAAGAAAGAAAAUAAAAUAAAAUUUUUAAAAAUAUGAUUUUUUUUAAUUGAAAUUAUUUUUCGAAUGAGAUUCAAACACUAAAAAAUAUGUUCAAUCACAUAUCACUAAAUAAAUAAAAACUAACUAUUUUUCUAAAAGAUGAUUUUCUGAAAAUGAUUUUCGUUUAUCAUGAAGUUUUUCCUCAAACAAACGCAUCCUUACGAUGUUACGACAUAGACACAAAAUGAUAGAUAAACUAAUAAAUGAAAACAAUAUAAAUAAUCCAUGAAUUUUGGUUCAAUAUGCAAUGUAGUCCCUUAACUUUAAUUUAUUCAAUAUGAUCCAUGAAUUUUAGCUCAAUAUGGAAAAUUGCCAUUGAACUUUUAAUUUUUUUCAAUGUACUCCUUGAAUUUUUAAUAUAUGUUUAAUUUAGUCGUUGGACUCUAUGAAACUAUUUAUUAUUGUCCAUGAUCUUGAAUUAAUGGAAAAACUACAUUGAAUAUUUUCAUAAAGUUCAAAGACUACAUGUACAUUAAACAAAUUAAAAGUUCAGAGACCACAUUAACAUUAAACUAAAGUUUAGGGAGUUUAUAAAUCAUUUAUGUCAUUAUUCCAACUAAGAAUUCAAAAGAAUCUACAUAAAUACCAUAUUAUCCCAGUUACUGUUGUACACCCUAUUAUGUUUUGGGCUCUUUCCAAAAUUAUUCAAAUCACGAUUUUCGUUCUUUAUUAUAUUUUUUGUUAUUUUUUGUCCAUAUUAGCGGGUGGCCUUUUUCUUUAAUAGACAAAGGCUCAUGGCCAUUUAUCUAGUUUGAGUUUUUUUUUUAGUCAAAAGGAAAUUUACAUUCAUUAUGAAACUAAUGCAUAAAAGGAAAUCUCAAAAGUCGCAGUAACAAAAUAAACGAAUAACUAGAAAUCAAGGUGUUUUAUUAGAGUAUGAUUGGCAGAGAUUAUCACAAGCUCGUUUGUCAAGAACAGAUCUAUAAUGACAGAGAUCAUUACAAGGUUGUCCUUCAAGAGUAGAUCUGUAACCGGAUCCAAGCGAAAGGAUUGACGGCCAAUCACCGACUUACACAGUAUUAUCAGUGAUAAGCACACGCCACCAUUUGUAAUUAUGAAUUUGCCUUUUGAGUGAUUAUGUGCGCCUAAGUUCGGCGUCCAAACCACCAUCACCUUAUGUAGACAACAUAAGUAUAUUAAAAAUCUUAGAUCCGACACUUGUGAGAGUGAGUCUUGCAGAUCUAGUUUAAGCUCGAAAGGUUUUACUAUAAUCAAUAUUGAAAACGUAUUGAUUUGCAUUUAUUAUUUCUCCUUUUAAAAACAUGACCCCAUCACCAUUUUAAUACUUAGUCAUUAUUGUACAAGCUUUUACCUUACCUUUUUACUUUGCUAAAAUUACGUAAUCCUAUUAACACUAUAUUUAUAUUGAUUUCAAAAGUAGGAACAAAAACAUAAGUGAGCUCAAUAAAAACGAUACAGAAGAGUCUAAACAAAAAUUAAUUAACCUAUGUACGUAUAGAAAGUCAUUGUAAAGUUGAACAAAAAAAAUUAAAAGUACAGGUACAUAUCAUUAUUUAUGUACUCGAUGCAAAAAUUUAACGAAUAAGAGUCAGAUAAGAGGAAAAAUGUCCAUAUAAAAGUCCGAUUAAAAGCAAAUAUAAAUUUUACCAAAAAAAAAAAUGAAAAAACACGUGUUGCGUGAUGCCCGAAGACUUGACGUCGACUCUCUCUUCUAAGUCUUCCCCUUCCAAAAUUAGUAGAGCCACAGAGGCACCUGUCGUGCGUUCCAAAACGAUGUGGCUUCUGUGUUUCUUGAAAUGUAUAUUUCAUAAAAUUGCAGCACCUCGACACCGGGUGCGGUAGCUUCUUGGAAAAGUUAUUAUAAAACUGCCGAAAUUUCGAAGCAAUUGUAGCCACGAGGCAUUUACUGAAUACUUUACGGAAGAAGCAACUCUUCAAAGCCAUUCCAAAUGAUAGUAAGCAUGUGAAUUUUUGGAUCAUAAUGAAGGGAGUUUCCAAAGAUUUUUAGGAAGAAUUCCCUAAUCAUUAAUGGCUGCAUAAAAAAAGAGACUGAAUUCCAUUUUUUUUUUAUAAAAAUUAUGAAAGAAAUAAAUAAUUAUGAUAAAAUUACGAUUAGGAGAUUUUUGUCCUCCACCACCGUACAAGUGGCCCCAUAAUGAAUGAACUGAUGUUUGGGAUUAGGACCAAUAUGUCUUUUGCAGAAAAUAAUGUUUAUUUUCAGGAUUUGUACAUUAAUUGGUGAAAAUCUCAAGCCAAGGCAGAUUAAAAGAUUAACCGGUCACUGCUCAAUUGGAAAAAUAGGCAACACAACUGGCUAGUUGUGUAGAGCUACAUUAGGAAAGGAUAAUAAUGACCUUUGGACGUAUUUGUUUAAGCGAAAGAAUUCUUUAUGAAUUAAUUUUCCGAACUUUCAUAUAUUUGAUUUGUUAAAAAUGAUUAGUCGAUAGAAAAUCAAUUGUAGUAAACAAAAUAUAUGUAUAAUAAAUUCCCUAAUUUGAAAAAGGGAAAAUAUUAGCUUAAAAAAUAAAAAUAAAAAAUUCGAUAGCAUUUUCUUUUCUGAUCAAAAAAGCAUUUUCUUUUAUCAUUUGCAGUUGGAAACCUUAGUCGUGACUCUAAUACUAUCAAUUUUUGAUCUCCUCCUCCCCUGUUGAAAGUUUAAUUUGAUCUCAAAUUUCAUGUUACUUUUUUUCUCGAAUGGGUAUAGAUAAAGGAGCUUGACCAAAUAGUGUGAACACCAAAUGGAUGAGAUCAAAGAUCAAUUUGAAGCAUUUACAUUGAAUAUCCCCUUGUUUUUGUAUGUGCUUGGUCUAAGCGACAAAAUAUUACGUGUUCAAGUGAUAGACGCAUCAGUUUUACACAAGUCUAUUUCAUGAUUGACACGAAUUACUUUUGGACCCACCUAUCAGAAAUCUUUGCAUUCUCUCCCUCUCUUCUACAUCUUUCCCUCCCAAAAUUAGUAGAGCCAGAUGGGUGUAGAGACAGUUGUGGUGUGUUCCAAAACAACGUGGCUUUUGUGUUUUUGGAAAUGUUUAUUUCAUAAAUUGCAGCACCUCAACACCGGGUGUGGUAGCUUCCUAGAAAAGUUAUUAUAAAACUACUGAAAUUUCGAAGCAAUUGUCGCUGUGAGGCGUUCACCGAAUAUUUAUAGAAGCCGCAAUGCUUCAAGGCCAUUCUAAAUGAUAAUGAAGAGGGUUUCCAAAGAUUUUUGGGAAGAAUUCUCUAAUCAUUAAUUGCUGGAUAAAAGAAGAGAGUGAAUUUUACUAUCUACCGUAAGUCCUAAGUUUUCAAUUGUGUUACGAUAUUUCUUUAAUAAAAAUUACUAAAGAAAUAAAUAAUUAUGAUAAAUUGCGAUAAGGAGAUUCGGUCCUUCAACACCAUAUAAGUGGCUCCAUAAUGAAUGAAUUGAUAUUUGGGAUUAGGACCAAUAUGUCUUUUGCAGAAAAUAAUGUUUAUUUUCAGGAGUUGUAUAUUAAUUGGUGAAAUUCUCAAGCUGAAGCAGAUUAAAAGAUUAACAAGUCAACGCUUAAUCGGAAAAAUAGGCAACACAACUAGCUACAUUAGGAAAGGAUAAUAACGACCCUUUGGAUAUAUUUGUUUGAGCGAAAGAAUUCUUCGCGAAUUAGUUUUCUGAACUUUCAUGUGUUUGAUUUGUUAAAAAUGAUUAGUUGAUGGAAAAUCAAUUAUAAUAAAAAUAUAUAAAUAUAAUGAAUUUUCUAAUCUGAAAAGGGAAAAAUAUUAGCCUAAAAAAUAAAGAUUUUUCAAAAGCAUUUUCUUUUUUGACAAAAAAGAAAUUUCUUUUAUCAUUUAUGGUCGAAAGCCUUAGUCGUCGAUAUGAUACUAUCAAUUUCUGAUCUCCUCCUCCCUUGUUCAAAGUAUAGUUGAUCUCAAGUUUCAUGUCACCUUUUUUCUUUUUGAGUGGGUGUAGAUAUAGAAGCUUGACCAAAGAGCGAAUGCCAGAUGGAUGAGAUCAAAGACCAAUUUCCAAGAGAAAGAAGCAUCUACAUGGAAUAUUCCCUUGUUUUUAUAGAAAUCCAUUCCACCAUUGACACGUAUCACUCUUGGACCUACCUGUCAGAAAUCCUGACAUUCUCUCUCUCUCUCUCUUCAAUUAUGUGACACUCUCUCCUCUCUCUUUUGCGUUUUCUGAUACAAAGGACAAAGCCUACUCUAUUUUUGUCAAAAUGCUCUAUAUCCCUUCCAAGAACUCGCCGCUUCAAUCUUCGCUCACUUCUUCUCCGACCUCCAGCCCUACCACCUCUUGUCCAACUCCUCGUGCGCCCUCUAUGGUCACGUUAGCUAGGAGCUCGAGGCCCUCUACCGCGUUGACGGACCAUGCUGUUGCCUCCACCUCCGCCUCAUUCCUUACCUGGUCAAAGUUGAGCUCUAGAUCACAAAUCUAGGGCUUACUUGAGCUUAGACCCAAAAUUUGAGGCUCAAGUUCAUUGAUUCAGCUUGAACUUGAUAAUGGAGGACUAAGAUGAUGGUGAAAUGGUGGUAGAAGGCAAUUUACGGGAUUAAGUUGAUAAUGAGUUUGACUUGAGGUGUUGUCGUCUCUCGCAAAGUGAAAGGAGGAAGAAAAAGAAAAAAAAAGGAAAAAAAGUAAAAACAUUAAUUAAAGAGAGAGGAUAUAAGGGUUUUUCAUAGGUGGGCCCAAAAGUGACAUGUGUUGGACAUUAAAUGGAUAUGUGUAAAACUAAUGUAUCUAUCAUUUGGACACCUAACAUUUUCUUGGAUCUAAACAAAAAUAAUCACGUUACACGUCACCAUGGCCACGUUAGUGCAUAGUCAUUUUCCAACCACUCUUUCACAUUCUUUCCUCUUAAGCUCCUUUGGGACAACAAUUAUGUUAUCGAGAACAAUUUCGGUUCAUAAAUAGUUUUAUUUAUUUAUUUAUAUUUUUGGAAAUAAAAAAUAGUUUUUAUUUAUCUAUUAUCUCUAUUCCAAAUCUAUUUCCUGAUCACUUAUCUAUUCUGGAAAGUAGAAUAAUUAAUUGACGUACACAAAUGGAUUUAUGUUCUUGAAAAACAAAAAGAUAGAAAAACAGAAAAAUACACUAGUUACCAAACAAGUCAUAAGUUUUGCAUAAUACUUUUUCAAACUCCUCCUUUUCACCUCCUUGGAAAUCAGUCUCGUCCUCCUAAUUAUCGCAAAUCUUCUUCUUCUUCUUCUUUAAUCUUUUUCUUAUUUAAGAUUCUCAUUGAAUUAAUAUAUAUAUAUAUAUAUAUAUAUAUAUAUAUUUUUUUUUUUUUUGGUCAUUCCUAGUCUAUGUCUACUCUACACUCACUUGUAGACUUGUGCCCUGCCUCUUGCAGGGCGUGGGAGUCGCAACACACUCUCGAAACUUACGCGUCCUUACCCCCCAUCCCCCAUGAGAAGGUGGGGAUUUGAACCCCUCACCUCCCCCUUCCAAGUUGGAAGGGUGGCCACUGGGGCGAACCCCCAGUGGUUAUUAAAAUAUAUUGAACUUGACGAUUUUGCAACUGUUUAUUUGGAUUAGGGUUAGGGCCCCGUUAAUUUGUUUUGAGGGUGAGGCGACGGUGAAUCGAGCCCCCACAGACCUGUUCACUUAAAGCUCCCUUGCUGAUAAAAAGGCAAAAUCGCAAGCUUAUGAAUAAGAUAUGCUUUUAAAAAACUAAGAUUUAACAUAUUGUAAUAUCGAAAUGAAAUUCUUUGCAAAUUUCAAAAGGAAUGGUAAAAGAGGUAUAUAAAGAAUAAAUUGCGCCGUUUGUAAGAUGACGUGGCGUUUAUGUUUUUGAAAUCUAUAUUUUAUAAAUUGCAACACCUUAAAGUCAGUAGCUUCCUCAAAAGUUAUUAGAAGCGGCUGGAGUUUUGAAGUAGCCGUAAUUGUGAGGCGUUUACCAAAUACUUCAUAAAAGUCGUAACGCUCCUUUUUACAAUUGAAAUUGCUUCAGAAAAUCUGUUCCAAAUAGUAAUAGGCAUGUGAAUCUUAGAUUACAAUGAAGGGGGUUUUUAAAAAUUCUAGGGAAGAGGAUCCCUAAGCCUUAAUGACCAUUAGAUAAUAAUUAAAAGAGAAGAAGAAGCGAGUAUCACCGUUGAUCACGAACACAUUUAAACGUUUGCAUGUUAUAAUAUUUUAUAUAAAAAUUACAAAUAAAAGUAAACAAUUACGAUUAUUUGGGAUUGGGAGAUUCGUUCUUCGAGAUCAUACGAGUGCCCCAUAAUGAAUUGACGUUUAGGAUUAGUACUUCUUGGUUGAUUUAGGACCAAUAAUUUUCUUUCUAGAAAAAAGAAAUUUUCUUAUUCAGGAUUUGCACAUUAAUUUGUGAAAAUAUCAAGCUAACACAUAUUGAAAUAUGGGAAAAUUCCAAAUAAAGGCAUAAAGUGUUAUCAUUUUCUCAAAUAAGGACUCUAAAGUGAACCUUAUAUCGAAUAAGAAUCUAAAAUAGACAUGGUUGUUUCAAAUGAAGGCCUAACCUCGCCGAUUGCCAACUUGGCUAAAUAUUUUGAUUGAGUAAAGGCAUUUUCAUCCAAUUAUAAUUAUAAUUAUAAUUUUUUUUAUCAUUUCCUUUUCUUUAAUUCAUUUUUUUUCUGAUAAGGGCUCAGCGACCCUUUCUGGCUACGAGCGAGGCCACCCUUGCCUAGGGCCGACGAGGGCUUAAUGACCCUCGUCUGCCAUUGGCCUCCCCUAAGGUAAGGCCGCCCCUCGCUUGCUGUUGGUGAGGCGACCCCCACCUAUGUCCAAAGACAAAUCAUAAUCAUCUUAUCCUAGCAUAACGUGUAACCCGAUGCCGUACUUUAGGUGUAUUUGUUUUUGGACAAAUUUCAUGAUAAAUGAAAAUGUAAUUUAGGAAAUCAUUUUUCAGGAAUUUUUUUCCCCUUUUCAAAUUAGAGAAUUUAUUUUCCUAACUUUGAGCACACAUUUUUUUCACUGUAAAUUGUUUUCUAUCAAUUAGUUCGUAAAAAAAUUUAAAUAAAUACUCAUUAAUGUCCUUUCCUGAUGUAGCUCUGCACAAUUAGCUAGCUGCAUUGCCUAUUUUUCCAAUUCAGUGGUGACCCAUUAAUAUUUGGGUUAAUAACCUGAAAAUUUGCAAACCAGUACACAUGUGACAAAUUUACUCUAAACUAUUUUUUUUACAAUCAAAAACUCCAAAUUAGUAUACCUUUGGCAAAUUUACCAUAUGUUAGUUUUCGUUAAAUUUUACUAUCAAAUUAUUAAGUUAACAUGUGACAAUUGACUAGUAUACCAAUCUUGAAUUUUACACUCUGUUUGUCACAGUUUACAAUUUUUGUGAUGUUUUUGUGGUAUUAUUCCAAUUUAGCAGAUGAUAUAUUUGUUACAAAUUUAUUAAUUUGGGGUUUUUUGCGGUCAAAUAAAUUAGUUUUGGGUAAAUUUGUCAUAAACGUACCGGCUUAUGAUUUUUUUAUGGUUAGUCGGGGUAAAUUUGUCACAAGUAUACUGGUUUGAGGUUUUUCAUAGUAAAAAGAAAAACAGUUUUUGGUAAAUUUGUCAUAAGUGUAUCGGUUUGGGGUUUUUUAGGGUAUUAAAUCUUUUUAAUGUGCAUUAGCUUGAGAUUUUCACCAAUUAAUAUGCAACUCCUUGGAAAGAAUUAUUACAUUCUACAAAAGACAUAUUGGCCCUAAUCCCACACGCAGUUCAUUAUGAGGGCACUUGCAUGGUGUCGAAGGACGAAUCUCUGGAUCGCAAUUUAUCGUAAUUAUUCAUUAUUCUUUCAUAAUUUUUACACAAGAUACUGAAACACGCAAAAAAUUUGGAAGGGUUUACGAUCGAUGGUGAAAAUCCCUCCUCUCUAUCCUAUGGCCAUCAUUGGUUGGAUCUGCUUCCCAAGAAUCUUUCGAAGCCCCUUUCAUUAUAAACCAAAUUUCAUACGUCUACCAUCAUUUGGAACAAACUUCCAACAACUACUUUAGUCUUGAAAAAGAAUGUUUUGACUAGGGAUGAACAUUGUUUGAAUGGCCGAUUCCCACCUUAAAAUCAAAAACCGCCCACUAAAAAUCAUUUUUGAAAAACUUGGAAUGGGAUACUACUCAAUGAUUUCAUGGAUCCACCUAGGAACCGAUCUCCAAUCCUUAUAAAAUUGCAUUCAUCAAUUUAUAUCAUAUCAAACCUAAUUUUUAUUUAGAGCACCAAAGUUUGCUUAGCUAUAAAUUAAUGUUGAAUUGCGAGACAUUGAUUUUGAUUAGAGAUUGACAAAUAUAGAGCAGAACCAAUAGACAAUACUCAUUAGUUAAGAACUUAAUUUUUUCAAAUGUCAUGAUGUGGUCCUCUUAAGGUUUUCCGAUAUCAAGAACGUAUGGAGAAUUAGACUCUACGUUAGAAGUCCUAACCUCCAAAGAAAUUAAAACAUUAAUCACUUGAUUCAUUUUUUUUUCAACCUCAACUAAUUUAAUCACGGGCAUAGCUAAGAAAAACCUAAUUAUGCUUUUAAUAUGAGCCAUUGACUCUUAAUUUUGUAUCAAUACAAUAAAGUGCCGCAACAUUUAGGGAUAUCUCUAACCGGUCCUCUCCUUUCUCUUCAUUUGUCUAUUUUGUUUUGGCUAAGAAAGUAAGUAAAUAGAUUAUUAGAAUGAAAAAAAAAGGUAGGGGAUUAAUCCUAUUACACACUCAAAAGACAAAAUUAGUCAAUAAUGUCUAAUAAUAUAUAUUGGUCAAAAAACUACAAAAUAAUUAAGUUAUAUAUAUAGAUUUCAUCUAGGUGGGCGAUUCCAUACCUAGAAUCGGGAAUCGAAUCGGUGCUCACCCGUUCCACUAAAUUAGAACUAAGAAUAAGAUUAGUCCUCAUGGAAAAUGCCAGUUUUGUCCGAUUUAAUGCGAUUCUUGGUUCCUUUGAUCCAUCUUUUUUAACAUCAACUAAUAUUUAAUCAUGGGGAUGGUUAAAGAGAGACCUUAUUUUGCUCUUAAAAUGAGCCAUUGUCCUCUCUUUCCUCUUUGUUUAUUUUGUUUUGGCUAAGAAAGUGAGUAAAUAAAUUAUUAGAAUAGGGUUAAUCCUAUUACACAUUGGAAGGACAAAAUUUGUCAUAAUGUCCAAUAACUACAAACAUAUAUUUUGGUAAAAAAAUUUCAAAAUAAUUAAGUAAUAUAUAUAUUGAGAAUCAGACCGGUACUCACCAGUUCCAUUAAAUUAGAAUCGAGACCUGGACUAGUCCUCAUAGGAGCCACCGAUUUUGUACUGGUUUCAGCCUGGUUCUUUGCAAUUCAGGCGAUUCUCAAUUCCUUGGCAUUGUCACGGCUACUUCAAAAUUUCAGUAGCCUUUGAUGACUUUCUAGGAAGCUACCGCACCCGACAUUGGAGUGCUACAAUUUAUAAAAUAUGCAUUUCAUAAUCACAAAAAGGUACGUCAUCUUAUACAUUUUUACCAAACUGGCUCUACUUAUUUUGAAAGGGAAAGACCAAGAACAGACAGUCAACGUCAAGUCCUUGGGCAUUAUUUAUCGCCGACAAUACCUAAUCUAGGGCAGGUCAUCCUUUUUACUUAUUGUGAAAACUCACUCUUUGCACGGAUAUUGUGAAAAAGACAGAAUAUAACACGCGUUUUUCAUUUUCAUUUUUAUUUACAAUUUAUUUUCGAUUUGCUUUUAAUCUGACUUUUAUAUGGAUAUUUCCUUUUUACUUUCUCGUGUUCGUUAAAUUUUUGUAUCAAGUACAUAAAUAUUGAUACGUACCCGUAUUUUUUCAAUCUUUUUUCAUUUCAAAUUCUUUUCAUUUACCUUGCUUGAUUUUAUUUUAUUUUUAACUUUACCGUGACUUUCUAAAUUUACAUAUGUUAAUAUUUUUAUUUAGACUAUUUUAUAUCGUUGUAUCAACUUCAUUGAAGAACUAUUUUGAUUCUGUCAUUACUUUUGUUAUUAAUGUAAGUAUGGUGUCAAUAGGGUUAUGAAAUUUUAGCAAAAUAAAAAGGUAAAGUGCAAGUUUAUGCAACCAUGAAGUUAUGAUUUUAAAAGGAGAAACAAUAAAUGCAAAUCGAUUCGUUUUGAAUAUUGAUUAUAGUAAAAAAAUUUUGUGCUUCAAGUGAUAUUAAAUAAGAUUUGCCACACUCAACUUGAACAUGGCGAAGUGAGAAACUUGAACCAGAUAGAGAAGCUUAGUAUCCCCAAAGCCUAAUCUUCUUCUAUUAUUAUUAUUAUUAUUAUUAUUAUUAUUAUUAUUAUUAUUAUUAUUAUUAUUAUUAUUAUUAUUAUUAUUAUUAUUAUUCUUAUUAUUAUUAUUAUUAUUAUUAUUAUUAUUAUUAUUAUUAUUAUUAUUAUUAUUAUUGUUAUUAUUGUUAUUAUUGUUAUUAUUGUUAUUAUUGUUAUUCUUAUUAUUGUUAUUAUUAUUAUUAUUAUUAUUAUUAUUAUUAUUAUUAUUAUUAGAGCGAUACAAGUAUUCUUUUUAAGGAAAAAUGUUGUAAAAAUCAUUUAUCUUUUACGAAACAAAUAUAGGUUAAAUAUACUUAAAAAUCAUCUUAGCCCCCUCUCCCUCCUCUAUUAUAACACUACCGCCCCAAAAAUAAAAAUACAACUAUAAUAGUCCAAUAACAAUGGACAUCCAUCCACAUCAUGCUCUCCAAAAGAGUGAUCUACAACCUUUUGAAAAGAUAGAAGAUUCCAACACUAUCGUUAUUUAUUAUAAGAUGAACAAUAACAAUUUGAAUACUGAAUAAUAUAUAUUUUGAUAACUUGAAUGUUAUCUUAUUCCGUAAUAUAUCUUAUUAGUUCUAUAAUUAUUCUACUUUUGCAAAUCAAAUUGUAUUUUGGAUUCUUCUUUAGAACUAUUCAUAUUAGUUGGUGGCCUUUUUGUUAAUAGACAAAAGCUCAUUAAUAUCCUUUCCUGAUGUAACUCUGCCCAACUAGCUUGCUGCGUUGCCAAUUUUCCAAUUGAAGCGAUCCUUUGAUAUUUUAAUAUGCAUUAGCUUGAUAUUUUCACCAAUUAAUGUACAAAUCCUGAAAAAUAAAAUUUUAUUUUCUAGAAAAAGACAAGUUGGACCUAAAUCAAUAAAGAAAAAGGCCCAUCAAUAUCCUUUCCUGAUGUAACUCUGCCCAACUAGCUUGCUGCGUUGCCAAUUUUCCAAUUGAAGCGAUCCUUUGAUAUUUUAAUAUGCAUUAGCUUGAUAUUUUCACCAAUUAAUAUACAAAUACUGAAAAAUAAAAUUUUAUUUUCUAGAAAAAGACAAGUUGGACCUAAAUCAAUAAAGAAAAAGAUACUAUUAUAAAUGUCAAUUCAUUUUGGGCACUUGUAUGGUUUCGAAGGAUGAAACUCCGGAUUGCAAUUUAUUGAAAUUAUUUUUUCCAUUAUUUUUAAUUAAAAUAUUGUAACACACAAAAAUUUAAAAUGGUUCGUGAUUAAUGGUGAGAUUUACUCUCUUUUCUCUCCAACCCCAUGAAAAAUUAGGGAUAUGCUUUCGAAAAAUCUUUAGAAACCUCUUAUUACAAUCCAAAAUGCAUAUGCCUAUUAUCCUUUUGAGCAGCUUUGCGUAGUAAUUUUCAGCCGUGAAAAGGAGUGUCAUGACUUUCGUAAAUUAUUUGGUCAACACCUCACAGCUACAGCUAUGACCACUUUAAAAUUUCAGCAGCUUAUAAUAACUUUAUAGGAAUUAGGAAGCUACUACAAUUUAUAAAUUAUGCAUUUCAAAAACAUGAAAGCCACCUCAUUUUAUAACACACCUCAACUACCUUUGUACCAAUCUGGCUCUACUAAUUUUGAAAGAGAAAGCCCAAAAACAGAGAGUCAACGUCUAGUUUUUGGGUAUCAAUUAUUCCUGACUGGGCCUGGACCACAGAUUGCAAAAUGAAGCUGGCUCAUCCCAGUUUUGUGCGUAUGAUAAACUGGGUGAUCAGUUCCCGGUUCAGUUUGGUUUCAAGGUGGAACCGGGAAAUAGACCGGGAGAACUGGUUCCGGUCCGGUCCGGUCCAACAAAAUUGACAUUUUCCUUUUUCACUAAAGAAAAACCAUGCUCCGGACUGAUCAAUCCAAUUCGGUUCCUAGGCGUUUUAAUAAAACUACUCACACAUGUUUCCAUGCGCCAUGUGCAAAAUAUUCACACUUCACUUGCGUGAAUAUCAAUCACAGUUUAUGUGUUUCACGCUUAAUUUUAAGCAUAAAAGCCAUGAACAAUUUGAUUAAAGGUUGUGCUUAGUUUAGAUUUUAUAAACAAUCUCUCUUCUAUGCUUUGAAUGUUUAGUCGAUAUCGGACUCUUUGAGGCUUGAAGUGCCUUGUUGUUUGCAAGUGAGGGGAGCAAGUGAGAGAGUGUGAGCACGAGGAACUCCUAGAGCCUUCUCUCACAUUGAGUAGAAAAUGAAACUAACAAGUAAGUUUUCUCUAUAAAUAAAGAGUAACAACAAAGCUUUGGUGGUCUCUUGGCCACAUAGAAGAUUGUUACCUCAAUUGCAAUUGUAAUUGCAAUAAGUUUCAUAUAUAAUAUUCAUAUAUUAUAUGUGUUUAUAUAUUAUAUGUAUAUAAAUUAUAUAUAAAAAAAUUGGUCCGGUCUGGUCGGUCCGGUUGGUCCGGUUCCCACCUUGAAACCAAGAACCAGACCAACCGGCCGCCGGUUCCAAGAUUAGGAACUGGGAACCGGACCGCCGACCGUGGGAACCGCCCAAAACCGGCCGGUUCGGUCCAGUCCCGGUUCAGGCGGUUUCCGUUGCACACCCCUAUGAUAAACAAGCUAGCAGAUUGGGUGGUAAAAGCCCCACGAAAAGAAGAAUUCCCCCAGAAUUGGCUAUUUCAUCCUGGGGAACUUAUGUUGGAUAAUUUAUAUUGGGUAAAAGUCACCAAUAACACAUUUAUUUAAAACUUUUUUUCGUGACACAAAAAACUCUAAACUAAACUAAUGUGUACAUUUACCCCAAAUUUAUACAGUGUGACAUCUUUAUCCCAAAUUUAUUUUUCAAACAUUUACUUGUGUGAUGAAUUCACCCAAAAAAUUUGGUGUCUCAAGAAAAAUUUUGAGAUUUUUGGUGUUAUAAAAAAAAAAUUAGAGUAAAUACGUCACACAGGUAAAAAUUUGGGAUUUUUUGUAUCACAGAAAAAUUCGAAGCAAAUGUGCUAUAGUGGGCAAAGUUUGGAGUUUUUUGCGUCACAAAAAAUAAUUUAUGGUAAAUGUGUCAUUAUCAGCAAAGUUUGAGAUUUUUUUUUUUUUGGUAACUUUUUCCCUUAUAUUUUCACAAACUUGGCUUGAGUUGAUAAAAUUUAUGUUUAGACACAAAAAAAUUUGUUGCAUACUAGAAAACCGACUCUUUGCGCAGAAAUUGAGAAAAAAACAGAAUAAAAUUAUUGUCCUUUUCUUGCAUCGUGCGGAUUCCCACCCAAUACCACCUGUUUUUAUUUAUUAUUUUUUUUUUGCUAAAAAUCAAUUUUCCAUUUGCUUUCAAUAUAACUUUCAUAUACUACUGCUUUUUACUACUGUUCUCUUGUUCCUUAAAUUAAGAGAAGAUAGCAUAAAUGAUCCUUGAAUUUUGUCUCAAUUCGCAAUAUCAUCCUUAAAAUUUUAAUUUAUUUAAUGUGGUUCUUGAACUAUUAGUAAAUGUUCAAUGUCGUCUUUAUGCUUGCUCAAAGGGCAAACCAAAUGUUAUUUUGAUGAUGUAGAUUACUAUAUGUUGAGUUGAAUUUUUAGAAAUGAUGAUUCGAUAUAUCUAUCAUUUUACCCAUCUACUUUAGAUAAGGAAAAAAUUUAAGCAUUAACAUGUCCAUUGUUAUUUAUUGACAUGGAUUAUUAUAUCCAAGUCAAGAUGAAUAUCUUACGUGGAUAAUCCAUAAAUAACUCUUUUUCUUUUUUUGCUCACUAUUCAAACCUAAAUGAUUGGAAGCUACAUCACUAGAUUUGUUAUUGUAGCUUUUGUUAAUUUGAAUUAAUGGAAGGAAUGUAUUCUAGAAUUAGAUUGAAUAUUUGUAAAUAAUUCAAGUAUCACAUUGCAUAUUGGACCAAAAUUCAUAGACCAUUUACGUCAUCUUUCUUUAAAUUUUUUAAUCAAGUACAUAAAUAUUGCAAUGUACCUAUGUUUUUCAAUUUUUUUUUUCAUUUAAAUGAGUUUUAUUUGGAGAGAAUUCAGAAAGGGCUUUCUGCUUCGUUUAUAACCACGGACAGAAUGCAAUAAAGUCAGCGGGGCACUUCCAAAAAGCUUUCAUUAUACCUUGAUUUUACUCAAAUUAUCUAAUAAAUGUUUUUGGAGGUAGAACCCACUGAUUUGUCAAACCCAUUAUGGCUAAUUCCUGCCACAUCUCAUUAAACUACAGUUUAGAUUAAAUAAAAUAUAUGGUAGAAAUGAAAUAGCAUUUCUUUACACUUCGGCUAAAAUAUUUUUACAACUUUGCCAUGAAUUUCCAAAUUUAGAUGGAUUGAUUUUUUUCUAUUUAUUUUUUUUAUAUCAUUGUAUUGACCCCAUUGAUAAAUUUUUUUUAUCACAAUUAAAAAGUAAAAGCUUACGCAAUCAUGAAUGAGUAUUAUAAUUGUGAUGGAAUCAUGUUUUUAAGUGGAGAAACAAUCAAUGUAAAUAAUUACUUAUUGUAGAUUUUAGCAAUAACUUUUGUGCUUCAAGUAAAUAUAAAAUAAAAUUUGCCACUCUACUUGAACUAGAUAUAUGGCCAAGUAUAACACUUGAGCCAGAGAGAGAAGUUCAGUAUCUCCAUAGCUUCAUUUUCUUGAUCGAAAGUUUUGUGAACUAUGAUUCAGCUACAAUAAAUCACAUGGGACUCCAAACAUUUCUUGAUACUCAAGACUCGAUCGAAUCUAUUAGAGCUAGGUCUCUUCUCGAAACUAAAAUUAAUACCGACAUCUUUUUGUCCUUACUAGAAAAAGAAUUCAACCAAAAAAAGAAGUGUGGAAAUGUGGAAAUAGAAAGCAUAAGGCGUUCCUUUUUCUGCUUGAGAAGGAAAUAACAUUCCACGUCGAAUGUAUCGAUUCUAUCCUCAAAUUCAACCUCUUCAACGAAGUGGAAGAUAAACAAACAUCAAGUCUCGUCUUCUUGACAUUACAUUUAAGUUUGAUAUAUGGGGAAAACAGUCAAAUUAAUCCAUCUUCUUUGCCCAAGAACUAGACAUAUUGCUAACAGAUGCUCUUUCAUAAACGUGAGCUGCAAUUGGGCCUACAAGAGCCAACAGUUCUUGCAAACCGGCCUGCUCAUCAAGGAUCAGCAAGGCAUGAACUUUUGCGGCGCCUUCUCCGUCUUGUUUUUUCCGAUCGCUCUUCCUUAAGACGACUAGCGACAUGCAUUCCAAGAGCAUGGGAUUAUACGCCAAGAGUUGGGGGACUUAAUGGGAGCUGAUUAACUUUCCAUUGUCACAAAUUAUAUCAACUGAUCCGGAUCUAGAGUCACCAUCUAAUGAUAUAACAGAGGAUCUGUUACCAUAAUGCUGAACUGCACAAUAACUAAUCACUAGGACUUUAGGACUGAUCCAUCCGGAUUGUAUCGAUUAAGCAUGUUCUAUUAAGUCCAGUGUGCAUGCAACAUCUCAAAGCUGCAUCUUCAAAAGGAGAGACGGAAGUGCAUGUACGACAACUGCCGAUCAAAGACUACUCGAUCCUACUGCUCUAUUUAGCGCAUGGCUUGUCGACAAUAAAAUUUUUAUUAAGAUGGCCAACUGUCUCAUAACGCACAUCAUAUUACUCACAUACAAACCCCUCGCAGAUCAAGCUCGGAAACAUCCUCCCAGAAAAGAAAAAAAGGAGAACGGCUCCAAACGAGUCAUAGAUAACGAAACUUCCAUACGGCUACUUUCAGGCUUUACGACAGACCUCACCAUCACAGACCCAUCCUUCUUUGGCAUCUCCUUCUUUCUUUGCUUCCUCCUCAGCUGCUUCAUCGUCUUCAUCUAACUCGUUUUCAGUUGCUUUCUCUUCUUUAACAGCACAUUUUGGAUGGAGAUCAAAGUCACACUCCUCGCAAUAAUAUGACCACCCCUCCCCCUCUUCAUCGCAGCCCUCACAAGUGUACCGUCUCCUCUGAGCCGGAACGAGCUCGUGCUCUUCAUGCAAAGGAUGCUUCAACUUCUCUGGCCAGCCUUUUAUACUUUCCUUGAACUUUUCCUCAAACUUCUUGAGAUGUUCGGCAGUAAAAGGAUAAGCAUCAGCCCCGUGGUCCAUUAUAAGAUCCCUUGCUUUGUUAGUCACCGUCCGGCCCGUUGGACCUAUGGCUACAAGCAUGGGGAUGCCCCGGACCUUGAAUUUGCCACUCAGGGAUUUCUUCCUCUCGUCACCAAAAGGGAGCGCCAGCCACGGCAUCUGAGCAAAAUAAUCAUCAAAGGCAGUUUGAUUCCUGUCACUGGAGAUGAAGAUAACCUCCAAGGCAUUGCCGGCAGCCUUGAUCUUUUCAUAUGCCUCCAUAAGCACCGGCAGGAAUGCACGGCAAGGACGGCACCAGUGUGCCGAGAAGUACAGGAGGACAGUCUUCCCUAUCAAGUCUGAUACUGGAAUCUGCAAUCGAAGUUAAGAAACAACCUUUUAGAUGAACCACAAAUUGAUGGAGAAAGCACAUGAAAACUGCAUAUAUGGAAAGGAUUUUCCUAGCUAUAAACCUGGUUUCACUCCUUUCCUCAAGUCAAGUAACCCGAGGUACAACUUUAUAUGGGGCCUCAUUGUAGACAUUAAAAAUUUCUGAGUCAUUAGCUUCUAGAAGAAAAACAAAUUUACCUUGGUUCCUUCCUUUCCAAUGAUGAAAUCCAGAUCCCCUGAAACCAAGAUCGACUCCAAGGUCUGAGAUUCUUCCUUUUUCUUUUCUAUCUCUGCAAGCUCUGCAAACUUUUCUGGAGUGAAUGGGUAAGCCGCAACGCCAUGCUUUUCGACAGUUCCGGCAACAUUGGGAUGGACAGUCUUCCCAUCCUGACCGAUAAUGACCAGAGUGGGUAGGGUCGACAGCUCAAAGUACCUAACCAACUUCUCCCAUUUCUUGUCUUUGAAUGGUAAUGAAAGCCAUGGCAUGCUUCCAAAGGAUUGGUUGAAUGAUGCUUCGUCAUCAUCAAGAGGUAUCUGAACAAUCUCAAAACUCUCUUCUUUGGCCUUCAAUGUCUUAUAAACCUCAAGCAACUUCGGCGUGAAAUCAACGCAUGAUUUGGACAUGGACAAUGAGAAGUACAGGCCCACAGUUUUCCCUUCAAGCUCAGAAACAGAAACC
rnacentral:lncRNA from 1 species